rnacentral:lncRNA from 1 species
CCAGCUAAAACUUUCCAUACCCAAAAGUUGAAGGUGGCAGAAAUGAGGAUGUUUCUUUGGAUGUGUGGUCUUACAAGGGCUGACAGGGUUAGGAAUAAGAUUAUUCGGGAGAAGAUGGGAGUGGUAUCGGUGGAAGACAAAAUGCUGGAAGUGAAGUUGAGAUGGUUUUGUCAUGUGAUGAGGAGGGGCAUGGAUGCCCCAGUUCGUAGGUGUGAGAGACUAGCAUUAGAUGGUUUUAAGUGGGGUAGGGGUAGACCAAAGAAAUACUGGAGAGAAGUGAUUAGACGGGACAUGGAGCAGUUACAUCUCACUGAGGAAAUAAUCCUGAAUAGGAAGGUUUGGAGGAAAAAUACUAGGAUAGAGGGAUAAGGUGGGGGGAUGAAUCAUAGUCCAUAGUUAGGAGGCUUUUGGUGUCUUUUGUUUGAUAAUGUACAUUAUUUUUUUGGAUGUUGUAUCUAUGUUAGUUUUAUCAUGUUUCAUGCUUUGAAUAUUUUUAUAUAUUGUCCUAUGUCUUGAGUCGGUCUCUCUACUUCUUUAGAGGUAGUGGUAUGGACUGUGUAUAUUCUACCCUCCCCAGACCCCACUAGGUGGGAAUAUAUUGGGUUUGUUGUUGUUGUUGUAAUGAUCAUCCUUUGAUUAUGGCAUAACUUGUUUGAUCGGACGAUUUUGGUGACCUUUUUUACACCCUUAAUUGUGGUUUAAUUUAUAUAUUUAAAUUUGAACCAAAUUGAAUAUUAUGUGAUUAAUGGAUUAUCCAGUUUCCUUCUAUGGUAAAACCUUGACAAUUUAUUUUUCUUUAAUCUGCUCCUUCCCUUUGUUGCUUAUGUUAUAUGUCUCUCUAAUAAAAUAAUUUCAGCAUCUAAUUAUAUUUGAAUUUAAAGUUGAUUGACAGUGAUAUUCUUGAUCAUGUUUCUUUUAAAUUAAUUGUUAUAUAGGUAAAUGUUAAUUGCUUGGUGUUCUAUUUAUAUGCUCUCCUUUUAACUAUUAACACAUAUUUUUUUACUUGCUCAUUUAUGGUAAAUGUGUUGUUAAUUGAUUUAGUCUACCUAAUUAAGGAGAAUAAAUUAUUGAUUGAUUCUUUCAAGUAUUUAUUUUUCCUUUUGUUUCUCUGACGAAUUUUUACAUGAUUGAUUGAUUUGUUUAUUUAGAGAAACAAUCUCCUUAAUUGACAGAGGAAAAAUAUUUCUUCCUUUUAUCCUCUAGCCCCCUUUACUAUAUAAAAAACCCUCUUUCUCUUAUUUUAAGGACAUAACUGAUAACUUACAACUUACAACUUACAAUACAUAUACUCCCGGAUACGAAAAGCUUUAAGCAAACAAAAGUUUUACUUUAUUUCUUGUAUUAGUUGUACUUAUUUUUCGGAGCAUUGGUCUUGAUUGAUCUUUAUUCUUCCGUGGGAAUUCACUUGAACUUUGCUCUACCUAGUUUUCUUAUUAUUACUUAUUAUCAUCAACCGGUAAGUCCUUAUCGCCGCACUUUUAUUUAUACUUAAGUGAUGAUAGAAAGCAUGUCCAUAGGAAUUGCUCUGUAUUUUGUUUGCUAUGCCAUUGCUUGGUUAUUUUUAUCCACGAAAUCAUGCCACAAUUCUUUCGUUUGUCUCUUUGUAUUUGCUAUAUUAUAUUUAUUGUGUUUAACAGGUUGGAAUUUGAAGAGUCGCCUGAGGGGUUUGGGAGGGACUACAUUACUCCCUUCAAGUUUAGUUGUUUCUUUCUCUUUAUAUUGGCCUAUAAUGUUGUAUAAACGAUAUUUUAUUGUAAUAAUAAUAAUUGAAGACUGCAUGGGGGCGGGAAUUUACAUGCUCUAUGAAUUCGUAGGCAACAUAACUUAGAUUUAUGUAUUUAUGUGCUUUUAUGUGCUUACGUGAAUCACUCAUUCAAAUCCUUAGGAUUAAUAAUAAAUUUAUUUACCACUUGGAAAUCGCAUCUUUAAUAGACUUUCGACAUGACAAAAUUGUUUUGGGCAUAUUAAUUCAAAUUAUGUAAAAUUAACUUUCAGCUUUUUUUUAUUUUGCUUUUCUAUGUGUUUUCGACAUAAUAAAUUUUUCAGCAUAUAAAUAUUAAUUUCUAGCAUGUUAAUAUCAUUUUUUAGCAUAUAACAAUAAUUUUUAGCAUGUUAAAUUAACUUUCAUCACAUUAGAGUUAUUUUUCAGCAUAUAAAAAUUCAUUUUUCAGCAUAUAAUAAUAAUUUUUCAGCAUAUUCAAGCAGUUUUUAGCAUCUAAAAUAAUGACUUUGGCAUAAUAAAUGAGUUUUCAAUACGUAAAUGAAUUUUCAGCUUAUUGGACUAAUUUCCAGCAUAUUGGUAUAUUUUUCAACACCUGAAUGUUGACUUUAGUAUGCUAGUGACGUUUUUUAACAUGUUAAUAUAUUUUAAGUAUGUUAACAUUAAAUUUCGACAUAUUAAUACAUUUUUCAGCAUAUCGACAUUGGAUUUAAGCAUAUUAAUAUAAUUUCAGUGUGAUUAAUUGAAUUACGACAUCUUAAUUACUUUCAGCAUGUUAACGGACUCUUCCACAUUAAAAACGAAUGUCAUUGAUUGUUUUCAACAUGUAAACUUUUAAUUUCCAACAUUGUCAUUGGGGCCCCAUAUCUUGCACAAAUAACAUCGAGAAAUAUAACUACGCAUUUACUCUACUUUGACAUGUUUUUUAUUCAUAACAAAUUUACAUUGUUUUAAAAUGAUUUACGCCGACGAGUGAUCAUGUAACAUCUAGAUAUAUUGCUUAUAGGCUUAACUAUCUAUUACAUAAUAAAUUAACAUUUUAUCCUUUCAUGUUUGCUUAUCUUUGACAUGCUUUUUAUUCUCAAUGAUUUUUUACAACAUUGUUUAAAUAUUUUGAUAAUUACUUUUUAAUAAAUAAUUGUGUGACACUUAGAUAUCAUGCCUAUAGGUUAAUGACAUAAAAUAAGUUAUUAUUUAUCGUUUUAUGUCAAUCACAUUAAUCAACUUCUUUAAUAAUCAAGAGUCUAACUUGGUACAACUAUGUGCUACGUGACAUCCUAUUUGUUUUGCGCUUUGAGUAUUAGGAAAACAUAGCUUUGUCUAGACCAAAAAUUCAAAUUAGUAAAGCCCAAUGCCUCUUGGGCGAUAAGUGGGACAAUAGGUACUUUAAAGAUGCUAGUUUUAUUCUUUCUUUAGAACGUUCUAGGAUUGACAACUAGCCUAGGUGGGGUGGGGCGGGUAGUCAUUCGGAAGUGACGAUCUCCAGAGACAUUACACAAUAUUUGACAUUGUUACUUGUUUAAGAAUUCGGCCAGUGUGUUGGAUAAGGAUUAAACAAGUUGGAGUUCUGAUUCGAAUGAGACCAAAAAUAUUUCUUUGUAUGAUUUGACGAAUUCUUUCUUUUCUUUACAUUUACUUUACAUGCUUGUUUGCUUGGGGUAGUUUAGGUCUUUAAAAUUAAUAAAUAUUUUGUUAUAAAUUAUUUUUCCUUCUUUCUCCUCGCUUCUCUACUUUACAUUAUUUGUUAUCCUUUUUAUCACCACCUAGUCAAUGAUUAGAAAUAAUAAGAUAACAUAUUUGUUUAUUCAUUGCUUUAUCACUUAGCUAACAUUAAGUUAAUAAUAAUUAAGUGGCCUUUAUUUGAUCAUGUAGAAUCUCCUCGUAAAAUACGAAUUUAGUCAGAAACCUCCUUUAUGGACCUUGAAAGGUGCCUAACACCUUCCUUUCAAAGUAAUUUGAACCCUUACCAGAAUUUCUGGUGAACUAGGACUAAAUAACAAAAUAGGUUCGUAGUUAGCCUAGAUUGGUGCCCUAACGCUCCUUAAUACGUUAGGUGGCGACUCUUCACAUUCUGCCUCAAAAUAAUUUCAAAAAGAGUAUUCACGUCGAAUCCCGCUUUUUACUAAGAAAAUAGAGCGCGACAGAAUGACGACUCUGAUGGGGAUCUUAGGUUCUAACCAUUACGAAUUUGUGCUUUAUGUGGGAUUCUCUCUAUUUAUCUAAAUUUUAUUUUUGAUAUUUGUGUAAUAUUGUUUAUUUUUUGACAUUACGAUUUAUUUUUCUACAUGUCAACCUUUUCCACUUUCCCUUUAUAUGUUUUUAUAUGUCCCUUCAUGUUUAUCUCCUUUCCUUUUAUAUUUGAUAUGUGUUGUGUUAUUUUUUUUGAAUUUGCUAUCAUACUUUUGCUAUGUGCUAUGUGUUACUACUUUAUAUAACUGGCAUUUCACUCAUACUUUCCUCCACUUAAAACCCUAUUUAUUUUCUCUUAUGAACGAUUGUGUGGUUGCAUGAACGUUCUUUCUUAAGACACCCUUUGGAAAAUGCCUUGUGGAUCGGUCGAUCAGCUACAUAUUUCUUUUAUUAAGGAAUAUGUGUCCCAUUCAACGUAGGAUGCCUAGGCAUCCUUGACGCGUUGAAUGUUAGUCUCAUUCAAAGUCCAAAGGGGUUCACGACCCCAAAAGGACGCACAAUUAUUUGUUAUGUGUUGCAUUUCUAUGUAUGUAUUACCUUUUUAUUUCGUUGUUAUCUUUGUCAUUCCCUACUUUAAGUGUUUCACGCCUUAGAACUCUUUAAUCUUAAAAUUCUUAUCGUGUUAGGGCCCUACAAUUAUCCUCUUGACUCAUCCGUUAGUAUAUUAAUCAUCUUUAGGCUCAACUUUUGCUUUGAUAAAGAGCUUUAGUCUUAUUCAUAAUCUUUAUCAUUUUAGGAUAUUCUCUUCUUAAUACUUUCAAUGCUUACAUACUAUGUCCUAUAUGAUUCUUUUGAUACUAUCGUACUCAUGUUGUACUCUAGCUUUCACAACCUCUAAGUCACAUAGAGCUCUCAUAACGUCUAUUCACUCCGAAUGAGCCUAACUCAUUAUUUUCAAAUGAGUAGAAUAUUUAUUCUAGACUCCCGCGCGUGUUCUUUGUUCCUAAUUAUAAAUCCUUUCUUAUAAGGUUGACUAAAGUUGAACAUUAGAAAUGGCCAGUCAAGUGAUGCUUAUCAAUCUUGUCAAUAGCAAAGCUGAGCACGAGAGUUUGGGGUUGCAUCAAAAUAAAGCUAUUUCGAGCAUCAGAAUGUUAGGAAGAAGAAUAGAGAGAAUUAGGGGGAAAAUGGUUAAUCUUUGAGGUUCAGUUGAAAUGCCACCAGGUUUUAGAGAGUCGUUAUCUAAAACAGACGUUAGCACUCUCAUCCACACCACGAAGUCCCCUAUACUGACAACUUCACCUACAUCUGAUUGUGAUACAUAUAUGUCCCCAAGUCAGUUUUCAAUUGCAUUUCUAAGAGCACUUAUUAGGUUGACAAAUACGAGUGAGGAUAAAGAGACGGAAGGACAGGUUACUAACCAUGAAGCAGGAUCAUCUUAACAACCCAUAAUGAAUAAGUCAUCCAAAUCAAGGGAAGAAGACAAGGAGAGAAUCGAGGGUUUGAAAAUUCCAUUAUAUGAUGGUUCGGGCAUUUCCAUUUGAAGGAUUACCUUAAAAAGCUAUCGGUUAUAGGACAAAGUGAUAGCCUGAAGACGAAACUCUUUGUUUGUUCACUUAAGGGUCCAGCAUUGGUGUGGUACGCCAAAAAUGGUACUAGCAAGUGGGUCUCUUGGGACCAUCUGGCAACUGACUUUGUUAGGCGGUUCGACAAUAAGCUAAAAAGGAAGCUCACAGUCGAGAAAAAUUUGGUUAAGCCACAAUCCAAGGAUAAGGGAAAGAUAAUCAUCAACGAGACAUCCAAAUCUCUAAAUCCUGAAGUAAGUGUACCCCAACCUCAAUUGAUAUAGUACCCAGCUCCAGAAACCAUUCCAAUAUCCAAUUAUGUCCAAGCUUGUUAUCCCAGAUCCUUCACAAAAUAUCAUCCUCAAACUGUUUGCUACCCAAAUUCAUCCGCUUCUUCAAAAACAAACUACAUUCCAUUUUCUUAUCAAGACGUACCCACGAAUCAACAACCCAUUCAAUCCUCCAAACCUUAACAUGAUCCCCAGAAAAAUUCACCAAAAUAGUACAUUCCUCUAGGUCAACCUAUGGAAUAAUUGUACGAACGACUCAAAGAUGUGGGCUACAUCACACCCAUUGAUGUCGUGCCUUAUGAUACCAAGUCCAGGAGGUAUUGCCCCAACCUAACGUGUGCCUACCAUUCUGGGGUGAAAGGACAUCCUACUAAGGCAUGCUUUUCCUUGAAGAUCAAGAUCCAAAAGUUGAUUAAAACCAAAGUGAUAAACGUGACAAGGUCAAAUUCUGAUGCUACUUAAUUUUCUAAGCUUGACUGGCACUUGUUGACAUUGGUGAAGAAGAUAUCAUGCUGAUUCUCUACUCCAGACUCCCGAACAUUUGAAAUUCCUUCAAGUUUUACAAUUUGUAGUUUUGUUUUACGUUUUCCUUGCUUAUGUAAUGUGAACUACGGUCAACCUGAUUCCCCUAUAUAAAGGAUACGUAGGCGCUCAUUUAAUGAGUUCGGUCUCAUCAUAAUAAAAUCUUCUUUUUCCCCAUUUUGUCAUUUUCUAUAUAUAGUUGGAUGAAUCAACAAUGUGAUGUUUUGAAUCAACAAACCUGAUGUUCAAUAAAAGUCGACCUUGUUCAUUUCCUAUCUUUCUUAUCUUCCUUACAAUCAUACUUGCAAAUUCGACAGUAUGUUAUAUCACUAUCAAGUUUCAUGCGUUAGGAGCUCAAAUCUUUAUGCCUAAAACGUUUAUUAAGGCUUAGUAUUCCUUAAAGAAUAACUUUUAUUUUGUAUUUAUUAUGUGUUGAACUUAUGCAUUGCUUGGUAAUUUUUUCCUUACUUAUUUUAUUUUAAGGUUGUCUAGCAUUUGAACAUCGAACUGAAGUGGCGAUCUGCAAUAUGACAAAUAUGCUCAAUAUCUGAAAAGUUUUCAGUUCUCCUUCUCAUCGCCCAAGGCAAAACACUAUGACUCUUUAUCCUCCCCUUACCCACACACCUUCUCAACAAUUUUCUUUCGCACGUGACACUUCUAAAAGUGAAAGGAUCAAUUUAGAUGAACGUUGGUAAAGGCUUUGUGACUAAGAGAGAAGGAUGAAUGAGAAACUGCGUUCUAGGGGUAUCUACGACUUAAGGUAUGAGAAAGGUAUGAGAAAUUAUGUAUACAUCCGAGGUUUGAGUUACCUCCAGGGUACAAAGUUCCAAAUUUCGAUGUAUCCGAUGGGCAUGGGGACCCAAUCACACAUCUGAAGGACUAUUAAGGUAGAUUAAUUAGCAUAGGACACAAUAAGUCUCUCCUAAUGAGAUUGCUUAUUUAGAGUUUGUCAGGAAUGACACUCACAUUGUUCGCCCAACAAGACUUCAACAAAUGGCAUAAUUGGGAAGAAUUGGUUUAAGAUUUUGUGAGGCAAUACAAGCUUAACAUCAAUACUAGUCCUACAAUACGGGAAUUACUCGAAAUAAAGAGAGUGGCCCAUUAAUCUUUUGAGGAAUAUACAACUCAAUAGAGGUUAGAGGCUUCUAAAAUACAUCCUUCUGUACCUGAGUAGGAAUUGGUCCAAAUUUCCUCAAGACACUAGAUGAAAUUUACUUUCAGAAAAUGUUCUUUCUGGUCAGUCACAGCUUUGAGAGUCCAAUUUCGAUUGGAAAGAAAUUAAAAUAUGAAAUGGAGAAUCCAUCCAAGGGAAAGAAAGAGGAUUCAUCGCCCUCCAUACCUCAAAUGCAAGGCUAUCGAUGUAAUAAAGAGACCCAUGUUGUUCAAUCCUACUCUGUACAACAAGAUACAAGACAUUCUCAAAAUAAGCAUAAAGUGCAUCACAUGAAUUGACGUUCCUAUUUCACGUCAUUAUUUUACCCGUCUUACAGCUAGUAAUAUUUUCUUGUUUUCUCUACAUUUCUUUGUACUUAUGAACUACAUGCGACCUGACUUCCAUUUGGAUACGUAGGCAGUCCACUUUGGGUUCGAUCGUAAUCUAAUAAAAUAUUUUCUUUCCCUCUCUUUCAGAUACACUUCCAAAGUGUCGAGCUACUAAGCCCAACUCCUGAGCAUAUUAAGGGUAGAUUAUAAUUGAGGCUACGAUAUUCAAAUGUAGGAAAAUCCUUUCUCUUGGAGUAAUAUUUUCUUUGAGUGGUAUAGGAAUAUCAGGCUCUAUCCAUUAUAGAACAUUUUAUUUUUUCAAAUUAACAUGUUUAUUCUUUGUCACCUUUACUAACUUGACUCUAUUUUUUUUUCUUUCUUUUUUUUCUCUAUCACCCCAAGGAUUGAUUCGUGCAUUCUCUCGCCCAUCUCAUCAAUUGAAAAAGCCUUAGUCUUCUUCUCUUAAAGCUUAGUCACCAAGACAAGGAAAUGGACGAUAACAACGAUGCUAAAAAUGAGCAUAAUGAGAUGAUCUUACAAAUGGAACAAAGGAUUCUUCAAUUACAAGAGGAAUUGUCACAAGCCCGUAACUUGUCUAAUCUACCCCUUACUUUGAAUGCUCCUCUCAAACCAUAAGUUGAGGGUUCACUGCUAUCAAAUCUCAUGCCACAUUCACGAGCCAUCCUUUACUAUCACUUCCUAUCUCACAACCCCCAAACAAUCUAAGUCACAUAUAUACCCCCAAACAAUCCAAGUCACAUAUAUACCCUUCCUAAAAAUAGCCAAUCUCCACAUUCUUGCCCACCAUAAUACAACACAUGCCUGGCUCCACUAAAUUCGCAAACAACAUCAUAUGUCCAUAAUAUACCGCCUACUUUUACCUCAAAUAUGCCUCAUUUUCAUGAUCAAAGAAGCCAUAGUUUAGAUCCAAAUUAUGUCACCCCAUUCACCCACCAUCAAUAUAAAUAUAAACCUCCAGAAAAAGAUGCCCUUAUCCAAUCUGUGGUUGAGUGGUUGGAACAACUUGAAUAUAGCAAGGGGUUGAAAGGGCUAAGUUAUGAGGACCUGUGCGUGCACCUUGAUGUUGAACUGUCGGAGGGGUACAAACCUCCUAAAUUUAAAUUGUACAAUGGGACUGGAGAUUCGAAAGUCCAUUUGAAAUUAUACUAUGGAAGAUUAGUAGGAGUUAGAAAAAAUGAGCAGAUUCUUAUGAAGCUAUUUAUGAGAAGUCUCACUGGCGAUGCUUUAUCAUGGUAUAUCAAACAAGAUACAAGAAAAUGGUUAAAAUGGACCGACAUGGCCUCUGAUUUCAUAGAAAAAUUUAGGUUUAAUGUUGAGAAUGCACAUGAUUGGUUCUACAUUCAGAAGUUAAAGAAGGAACCUACAAAAUAAUUUCAAGAAUAUGAAAUGACAUAAGACACGUGAAGCUUUUAAAGUGCGUCCUCCUUUAGAUAAAAAUCAAAUGAAGGAAUUUUUCAUGCGUGCCCAAGAGCCACAGUAUUAUGAAAAGAUGAUGCUUAUAGAUAUCGAAAGCUUACUGACAUCAUUAAAUUGGGUGAGAGAAUUGAAGAAUGCAUUAAAAAUGGCAUGAUAAUAAAUUUGGAGGGCUGUAAGAGACUAAGACUUCACAGGCUGAUGAGAACAAUGACAUGAAGGAUGUAAAUGUUGUCUUGACUACGCAAGAUCCUAAAACCCUUCCAAUUUACCAAACACCACUUCCUCUACUUCAAUACCAAACACCCAUAUAUCAAGCACCCUCAUAUCCAUUUUUCGCGACGACAUACUAUAACCUCAUACUAUCUUAUAAUCCUACUAACACUCUUGCACAACCUGCAUACUUCCAAAUACCUCUGACUACUUUCCAGCAAUCAUUAACUUAUCAAAAUCCACCAAUAAUUCUAUGACCCAAUCAUUCGUUAGACCUCGAGCCAAGCUUUAGAAAAAUCAGUCAAGAUAGUACACUCCUUUAGCGGAGCCUAUAGACCACAGUACACUCCUUUAGCGAAGCCUAUAGACCAACUUUAUGAUUUUGGGCCAUAACAAGGGAUCCGGUGUUUUUUAUUUUAUUUUGGAUUGAUUUGGCCCAAUACAUGUAAUCUUAUUUUAGUUUGAUUGAUUAAUAAAAUCCUUAUUAAUUAAAAAAAAAACUAUAAACCAACUUUAUGAGAGAUAAAGGGUUGAUGGCUACAUUACCCCAAUUCCUGCAAUUGCGAUGAAUACAUGUGCAAAAUAGAUUGAUCAUUUCAAAGUAUGUGCUUAUCAUUCAGGUAUAACAAGUCACACCACAAAGGAAUGUCAUGCUUUAAAGGACAAAAUUCAAGCGUUGAUUGAUACCAAAGUGAUAAAUGUGACGGGGUCAUAUCUUGACAUUGAUUAAGCGCCGGCAUCUACGUGACAUUAAUGAAGGGAUACCACGUCGUUUCCUCAUUUCAGGCUCUCAAGCACUUGGAUUACGAUAAUCUUCACAAUAUGAAUUUCUCCUAUAUAUUAGAACAACGUUUGACCUGAUUCCCGUUUAAGAGGGAUACGUAGGCACUCCUAUGGAGUUCGGUUUUAUCAUAAUGAAAUUUUUGUAUUUUCCUAAAGCAUGUAACUGGUGUUGACACCUAAUUUUGUUCCAUCUUUCUUUCAAGUAUUUCUUCGCGCUUCGAAAUAAUUUUAUAAUUUAAAAAAAAAUGCAUGUAUGUUACUUAUAUAAUUAGGAGUUUAUGCAAAUCUUGCCAACAUUUGUAUUUUAAAUUAAAAAAAAUCAUCGACAAAAUUAUUAUUAUUAUUAUUAUUAAUCACCAUUACUAUUUAUUAUUAUUUCUAUUAUAUUUCAAAUUAUCGUCGUGUUUCCUAUAAACUUGCACAAAAGACAUUAUAUUUACUUUAUCUUUUAUUUAAAUGAAGAAAUAUUUUUGUGGUUUUAUAUUUUAUAAACACUAUCGUUCGACUCCGACAUUUGUCACACAACUUUGUUCAAAUGCUUAUAUUUUAUUAUUAUUAUUAUUAUUAUUAUUAUUAUUAUUAUUAUUUAUUUGGGUGUUUUUAAUAUGUUUAUUGAAAGUGUUAUUUCUAUUAAUUUAGAAGUCCAAAGUUUAUAAGAAAGAAAGUGUUUAAAUCAGCCCCUUUCCUUUUUUAUUUCAACAACCACAGCCCAAAUAAAAAACACCCACCGAAGCAGCAUUCAACAAUACACCAUACAAACAGACCCUCUACAACAUAUGUGUAGCAGCAACAGCGUACAACACUGACAUCAACAGCUGUUGAAAACAGCGAACAACAGCAACAACGUACAACACUAGCAACAAUAACGCACAACAAUUUCAACCAAACGAACCUCUCUCUCCCCAACGUCUGAAUUUUGCAGACCUUGAGCUUUGUUAUUUGAUUUUUUUUGCAGACCUUGAGCUUUGUUAUUUGAUUUGUGUUCAAAGAUAGAUUGCUUGUUGCUCCAAAAUCUUAUCCAAAUCAGAGGUAUCACAGUCAAUCCAGUUUAUGGGAUAUGUUUUCACUCUUUUUCUCAACUUUUUGUCAAGUCCCAACCACUCCUCGACUAAAACAGACUCUAUUUUGAAUUUUAAUAGAGAUUUUUUUCAAUAUAAAUAGGAGUGGAUGCUUCCAUUUGGCAGCAUGGGUUUUAAGGGGAUUCUUUGGGGAAAAAUUGGAGAUUUUGCAGGAGCAUUCCUCUAAUCUCACGUAACUAAAGAAUUCAAGAAGGAAUUCCAUUGAAAAAAAUAAUUCCGGCAAAUUGUCGAACUCCGGGGAAACUAAUCGGAACCCCAGUGGUGAAAGUUCGUUUGAUUAAGGCCCGUUGUCCCGGCUUCUGCUCGAAAAAAGGUAAAACUUCAUCCCUUUGGCAUUUCCUUCUAUGUUUGUAUUAAGAAAUCUAAACGAUGGUUAAAGUGGGAUACGUUUGGAUGGAUAACUAGAUAUAGAUUCAAUUGGUUUGGAAUGUUCAUCCCUUAAAUAUUUGAAUACGUGAUUCUUUUCUUUUUUUUUUCAUUUUGUUUAUUUAUUGAUUUAUUGGCAUUUGUGUGUACAAACUAAUGGAGAAUGGCUGCACUGUUUUUUGUUUACUGUGGGUUGAAUUUGUUUGGAAUCAUCCAUCUCGAAAAUUUAUGAAUUUGAAUUGCCCUUUCCUGUGCAUAGGUUGAGUUUGACGGGGAAAGGGUUGAUGAUUUUGUUCUUCUUUAAGUCGCGAUCUAAAGCUGCUCAUGAAGUCAUUAUAAGCAUGAUUAAGGCCAAAACUAGCCUCUAUGAAAAGAAAUAUCUGAUUUUAGUUUGAGAAUCGUUAAAAAAAAACUUACUUGUUUCAUGACCUUCCCUUCUAGUUUCUUUAACUGAAAAUUCGUGUGCGCCAUAUGUUUUGUUGGUUCAAGGAGGAACGAGAUCAUGAUAAAGCUCUAGGAGGAAUCUGGAAUAAAGAUUGCUACUGCGUAAAACUUAUUGAAACUCCCACCACCCUUGCUUGCUUUUCCACUAGCUUCCUGUGUUCUAAGAGCAGGAAGAAGAAAUAAAUCUACUAUUAACAGGAUGAAAUAGUUGUUAAGAUGCUUGUCUUGUUACUUUCCUAUUUAGACAUUUUGUGAAAGCAUUUUUUGUGGAUGAAUGCUGAUCUUCUACUCGUUUUCUUUUUCAUGUGGAUCCCCCGAGUCCACGCGACUCCAAUCCUUGCUUCCCUUCGGGCAAAGUCAAUUUCACUGAGUCGAAAAUGGACUAAUGCAUGAAGGAAAUGGACUUAUAUAUGCACAAGCAAGCUGAUAUACAUUAAGAGGUAGCAGCUGCAUGUUAUACCGUGGUUUAUGAUGAAAAAUAGAGUCAAAAUAUGCAGCUUACCGCACUGAUAUACACCGUAUACGCAGUGGUAUACCCAAAAACGCAGGAAAUAAGCUGCUGAUAUACAGGGACUAAUCCAAAUCUGGACAGCUUGCAGCAGUGGGCCACAAGCCCAAUUCCAAAUCUGGGCAGCUUGCAGCAGUGGGCCACAAGCCCAAUUCUUCUUCCCAACCCUUUUAUUUGUUUGCAAUUGAUUAUUUGUAUUUGUUUUCAUAUUAACACUAAUCUUCAAUUAAUUAAGUAUAAAUAACAUAAAUACCAACCUUUUGAAAGUAAUUACACUCUCCCCACCUUUUUAAUUACUUUGCUCUCUCCCUAUUAAUAUAUAUAACAUAGUCGACAUAUACAUAGCAUUCUGUGUAUAUGUUGGGAUUUUUGUAAUAUGUUUAGGGAGUUGGAAUUUUUUGUAAUAUUGGAAAUAUAAGUUGUGUGUUUGUAUAAUUUUUAGAUUAAUUAAUCUAGAUAAACUCCUCAAGAUAUCGCCAUUUUUAGUUUAGCUUCAUUUUUCCUUUCGUUACUUAUUUGAAUCUUCUUUUAUUCUUAUUAUAUGUUAUUUUUAUGAAGCAAAAUGAAUUUUAUGUUAAUCUUUUUGAAUACAAACCUUUUCACAAUAAAAUGACUUUUGUUUGUUCAAACAAUAAUUAAUCUCAUUUAGGUUAAAGAGAGUUUUCUCAAGCAUGAAAAGAAAUAAGUUUUCUUAAAUUAAAAAGUUUAAACUCUUCCAUAAUCUAUUAAAUGUUUCUUACUUAAUAUAUUAUUUUAAAAAUCUAUCAUUGUUAGAAUCAAGAUUUUGAAUUGACAUUGACCAUAAAGAAUAGAUUUUUCUUAAAAAUAAUAAUUUUCCUCAAAACAAAAUAAAUUAUUAUUUUCAUUAAAAUCAUAGUUAAAAAAUGGACUUUUAUUUAAAAUUUUCUUUAGCUUAAAACUUGAUGAAAUAAAAAAUGAUAUUCAAAAAUCGCUCAAUAUAAGUUUGAUAAAUUACAAAAUUGUAAAGUUAGUCAUUCUUUUUAAGUUAGUCAAAAAUAAUCUUUUGGUGAACCGUUUUAAAACGGAUGCUCCUAAGUGCUUCAAAAGUCUUCUUAGGGCGUUAAUUGAACCCUUACUUAGUCUCUCUAAUUUCAAAGAUUUAUUUUUAUUUUUGAAUCUUUGGUUUUCUUGAUAUUUUUCUAUAAAAAUCACCUGGCGACUCUGUGAAAAUUAUUUCAAAAUCUUAUUAAAUUUUUUUGAAAUAGUUUAAAAAAGUCAAAACCAUUUUCUCAAAAACGAAACUCGAAGAGGGAUAAAACAGAAAUGACAACUCUACUGGAGAUGUAUCCAGAUUCUAACCAAAAGAAAUUUUUCUAACUUCUUGUUGCUAGUGAUUACAUGUUUAUUUGUUAAAUUACAUAUAAACUGGCAUUCCGUUCAUAUAUCCUCCACUUCAAAAAAUUGACAGUCACACACAUUGUACACGCAGAUUGUACAUGACUUCCCCAAAAAAAUUUUAAAUCACCUAUUUUAGAGAGUCGGCGCAUACGUGGGGUAAGCGGGAGUUUUACUGCCGUGGGACCACGUGCCUUCUCAUAUAGGAAAGUCAAGUCCGUGUAUACCCAAAUCUUAAAAAAACUUAAGAUAGAGUGUUGUCAUCCUUGAUUUAGGCCAUGCAUGCAUAAGCCAUAGGUGGUUUGACCCAUGGUAUCAUUUCGCAAAUUUAGGAGACGCCUUUAUGUUAAAAGGGUUCACGACCCGAUGAUGACCUUCAUAUUAUGUGCAGAUAUAAUGAUAAAUUGAUCCAAGUCAAAUUUUGACCAAAUUGAGUUUGAAAAAUUCUAACUCCAAGCUCGAGUAGUGUUAUUAAUUAAAUCUUGAUCAAUUUAUCGAAAUCUCAAUUAUUUGACGCUUAGGCCUACCUCCGGCAUAAAGGAGUCACCUGCAUAUUAGGACGUAUUAUUUAACAUAUUUACGUUAUUUGUCUUGCAAAUUUGCUUGUACAUGCUAGUUGACCUACAUGAAUUUAUUUGCAAUUCGAUUUGAUUUGAUAUUUAUUUGUUAUUUUCACCUUUGUUUUGUCCUUAUUUUUAGAUAAGAAAAUUAAAUUUAAGUAUCUCUUUAUUAUCUAUCACAUUUUCACAUAUUUUAUAUCAUGACAUUUCUUUAAAAUUCUUAUUGUAACACUUCUGCGCUUAACGCAUUUUAACGAUUCAAGAGCGCUAUUUAGGAAAUUAUCUUCAGUCCAUCGAAUUCUUAAGUAUUUCAAUUAAGGUUUUCUCCCUUUUUCAUUUCUUACGAUCUCCUAUAGGGUUCACAUUCUUUCUUCAAAAUUGUAAUGAGCUUAGUUCGUUAUUAUUUAAUUUUUUGAGAUUUCAAUACUUAUGUCAGCCACUUGUUAAAAAACAACCUACUCUGUUAAUGUUUGCAUAAUUCUUCGCUAAUAUCUCUGCUAAAAACAUUCAUUUCAUAAUUUGUCAGAUUCGUGCUUAGUCAAAUUUUACCAAACUCGUGCUAAAUUCAAACUUUUGAAUCCUUUAUCUUUUCAUGCUCUUCCAAGUCCGUCUUUUACUGUGUAAUCUUCUAUUUGUAACGACGGAACAUUCAGCACUCUGUAGUAUGUAUUUAGUGCUGAUCGAUGUCAUAAAAUUUUCGCUCAUGCUCUCCAAUAUUUCCAUUCUUUCGUUGGCCUUCAGUUCAUUCAUUGCUUCUUAAAUUGGUAGAUAUCCAAAAAAAAUUUGCUCAAACUGUCAAAGUCGCACUUGACUUUAGUUGUUUAAUUUUCUCCAUUAAAUUGUUUUAGAGUAACAACCCUAAAUUUGUUACUUCUUUAAAGUUUCAGUCAUUCAAAGGGCAUGUGUCGUUCCUAUCUUAACAUUAUUGGGAUUGAUCCUCCAUAUUUUUUUUAAAACUCAAGCUUUAGCGCGUAAAUCAAGAAAAUUCUAUUAUUUUCUUCAUCUUUGAUAUUCUUUUUUUUAUCCAACAAUAUUAAGCUAGAAUUUUGAGUCAUUCACAAUCCUUUGUCUUAUCAAAGUUUAAUCUUUGUGCAUUCUAUUUUUCUUAUUAAUUAUCAUCUUGUGCUUAAACUCCUUAUAGGACUCCUCUUAGGUUCUUUUAAUCACAUUUCUAAAUGCUUCAUUUCUAAUAGCCUUUAACAACUAUUCAACAAUUAUCGAAUGUUUCUUUCUCCUUUCAAAGGUUGACUUAAGUUGAUCACCAAAGGCAACUCAAGAAAGGUAUGGCCGAUCAAAUUGCUGUGAUUGACCUUUUUAAGGAUGAGUUCGACUCCGAAGAACCAAAGUCAUAUCAAGAAAAAGUCGAUAAGCUUGAGACAAAAGUGUCACAAAUAGAGCAAGAAUUGACAACAUGCAGGAAGUGAUAGUCAAUCUUAAGAAUUCAUUUACUGAAGGCUCAGAAGCAUACUCCCUCUUUGGCACUGCUACACCCACAUUUGAUUAUAAUGCCCAAUUUUUUUCUAACAUGUACUCAUUCUCGCCAAAAGAGACAUUCAACAACUUGGCAGAGACGAGCAAAAAUGGAGCUAAUGAUGAAAGACGUUUUAAUAUUGAGACUAAUCAAAUUUUCUUUACAAAUGAGCUUGUUUUACCUUUUGAGAUGGAUUAUGAAAUAUUCCGAUGUAUGACGGGGCAGAAAAUCUCGUAGACCACCUGAAGGCAUAUGAUGAUUGGGUGAGAACUAUUGGACAAGACAAUGAAUUGAAGAUGUUACUCUUUGUUAGGACACUUACAAGUCCAACUUUGAUAUGGUAUGCAACGCAAGGUAUGUGGAAAUGGUCUUCUUAGGACAACCUUGUCGAUGAUUUUUUCAGGCAACAUAGGUCUUCCAGUAGUAUUUCUAGAGGGGUUGGUUCAUCUAAAAGGAAGUCUGCAGAGUUUCCUAGGGGUCCAAAAGGAAAAGAACCAAGCUCAUCCUUUCCUGCAAUUUUUACAAGGACUUACAAUUGAACCUGGUAGAACUCCAGCAAUGAUUUCCUUGAACAUGGAAAUGAAGAUGUAGUAGGAUCCUUUUUAAAUAUGUCAUCUAGGACUUAUGUAGAAGGAUGAUCAGUUUUUGGGUAGCAUCAUUUUUGGAACAAUUAUAUAUUAUUGUAUUGAUCAAUCCUUUGUAUGUUUUUAAAUUUUCUUCUAUGUAUAUUCUUUUAUGUAAGUCGAACUACGGUUGACCUGAUUUUCUUGGUGGAUACGUAGGCAGCCCACAUAGGGACUCGGUCAUAUUAGCCUAGGAUUUAAACAUCCUCUUUGCAUGUAAUUGGAACUACAUUCGACCUGAUUUCCUGUUGGACACAGGAUAUGUAGGCAGCCUACAUAAGGCUCGGUCCCUUUAUUAUAUUUUUAUUUCUGCCCCAUCCCAAAAUAAAGAAGGAAGAGACUAGGGCAGAACCUUGACAUUACAAUCGAGGCAUCAUCAUCAAAGCAUCCUAAAGACUGGGAUAAGAUUUUGGCACGCAAGAUGAGGUAUUAUCAUCAAAGCAUCCUAAAGACUGAGACAGGAAUUUGGUAAGCAAGAUGAGGCAUCAUCGUUAUAAUUGUCUUUAGAUUGGGGCAAAUUUUAGGAUACGUCAGGGUUAGCAAGUAUAAGGAUCAAGCUAGAGUCAAGCUUUGGUAUUCGACAUGGGUCAACCUUUCUUCCGAUUACUACUCUAAAUCAAUUGAUACUUUUCUUUUACAUCUCAAGCAUUAGAGCCUAAUGGCUAAGAAGUCUCUCAAUCCACUCAUUCCGCAACUAAGUUCGUCUUUUUUAGUCUAGACCUCUUACUUAAGCUCAUCACAGAUUAAUCUUUUUAUUAUUAUUCUUAUUCUUAUUCUUCUUACUAUUAUUAUUAUUAUUAUUAUUAUUACUACUACUACUACUAUAUGCAUUUCACAUGUUCUAACACUUCAUUUUAUAUUAAAAUUUCAUUUUUUUUUAGAGAUUGUCUGGUAUUGAACAUUGUUUUGACUUUGAAUUUGCGCUGAGGAUGAGACGAUAAUGGCAAAUAGGUGUGAAUCAUCUAAUUUCGGUUUGGGUUUAGUGCAAGCAUGGAAUGAUGAUAGCAAGAAAGAUGUGGCCCGAAGAAACAUUUUUGUCAAUCUACCAAGUGUUUUUAGCCUUCUUCCUAUCACUAUCUCGACUCCCAACUCAACCAAAAAUAUUUGUUUAGUCAUAUAUCCUUAUCCAACUCCCACUUAUACGAUCUCUUCGUAAAUGCAAUCAAUAUAUAUACUACCAAUCUCAAAAAUUUCUAGCAUACUAUGAUGCCAAAUAUCCAUUCUUCCACAAUUGUUCUUCCUUUCAAGAAAAAUAAGUAUAAACAGCUAUCAGUCUGUCAAACUGCAAAGCGUCGAAAGGAGAUUCUAUCAAUCCACCACAAAAAUUUAGGUGAAGAGUUUUACAAUCUGAGAAAAGCACUUGAUGAAGAGUUGCGCUUAAGAAAAUACCAGAGUCUAAAAUAUGAAGAUUUGUCUGUACACCUGAAUAUUGAGCUUCCGCCAGGGUAUAAGCUACCAAAAUUUAACAUUUUCAACGGGAAAGGGGAUCCCAUUACUCACUUAAAGGACUAAUGCAGUAGAUUAAUUGAAAUUGGACAUGAUGAAGCCAUACGAAUGAGACUAUUCAUUCAAAGUUUAUCAGGAUUGGCACUCGCUUAGUAUACCAAGCAAGAGUUUAGCAAAUGGCGCACGUAGGAAGAUAUGGCUCGUGACUUUAUAAGGCAGUAUGAGUUUAAUAUUAAAGAUGGUCUGCACAUGACCGGCUUGCUCAAAGUGAAGAAGAUACCGCAUGAAUCCUUUCAAGAAUAUGCCAUGUGGUGGAGAUUAGAAGCUUCAAAAAUACAUCUUCCACUUCCCGAGGAGGAAUUGAUCUCAGCCUUUAUUCAAAUUCAUGAAGGCCUAUAUUUUGAUAAGUUGAGUGGGACUUGUGCAUGCAAAUUCUCCGUUUUGAUUCAAAUUGGCAAAGAGAUAGAAAAUGGCAUUCAAGAAAGGAAAUUUGUAGAAGCAAUAUAAGUUGUUCAUCCUGUUUUCAACUGACGACAUCUCUAAAUCUACAAAGUUUAACCAAUUCAGCUUUUGUGAAUCAAUCACAAUGCCAUCAAAGUCACCAAUUUUCACAAUCUCAUGCUUUUUCUGACCUUCACAACACGUAUCUCCAGCCUCUUUGUCAGCAAAAUUUACAAAAUAGAUCCCAGAAAUAACUUAUUCAAGCAUAAUCUACCCCGCGGCCAAAGAAGAAGAUAAAAUCUUUCUCCUUCACUCUUUUAGGUGAGCCAUUAGUCGAUAUAUUUGAGAGAUUGAGAACUAAGGGACUUCUGCAACCCAAAAAGGGAUUCAUACCUAAGUAUCCAUCUCCAAACUUUGAUUUAUCCAAAAUUCGUGCCUAUCAUUAAAACAUUCAAGGACAUGAUACUGAAGAUUGUCUAGCACUAAGAAUCAAAAUUCAAAGUCUUAUUGAAAGUGGAAAGAUAAAGCUGCAACAAGAGACUCCACUCAACAAUGAUAAUGAUGCAAACAAGGGAACAAUUUUUGUUAAGGGUGAUCCAUCGAAAUGGGCACCAAGGCAUUUGAAAAGAAAGAGGGCAACAAACCUAGAAGACUGAUAUGGGCAUCAUUUUGUGACUUGAGAAUACCAUCUUCCUCUUCCCUCCUUCAUGAGUAGUUGCCAUUUUGUAAAAUCAUCCUUCUUUUUGUUCUUCUAUGAGUAGCUACUAUUUUGUAACUUAGUAUCACUCUUAUUUUCCUCCUAUAUAAGCAGUUAUUAUUUCACAAUCCUGUCCAGACUUUUUAUGAACUACGUUAGACCUGAUUUCUGUUAGCAACGAGACAGGUAGGCGCCUACUCUCGGUUCGGUCACGAUAUCAUAAAAUUUUAUUUCUCCCAUAGCUAAAACUGGGACAACCUUGCAAGUGACCUAUCACUAUUUCGGCAAAGCAUAUAUUUAAGCUCGUGACCACACUCGCAAUAAUGCCAUAACUACAAGAAGUGCAAAAUCGAAGUCAAAAUUUUGUGGUUCAAUGCAAGACAAUCAAUUUCUUUUAUACUAACAAGUUUUCUUCGAGUAUGCAGAUGUUGAUUGUUCUUGAAGGAUAACAUAUGCUAGCAAAGCACAAGAAACGCAAUGCGAAAAUGAUACAAAAUACAAUGCGAUCUAAAUUUCAAAACUCAUAAUUCUGUUUGAGCGCAGGAGCUUCCUCAUAGCAAAAUACAUCGAAAAGGAAAAUCCUAAAUUAUGGGUACCACAUUAUGAAUAGAUACAUAAUGUGGCAUUGCAGCAUUAACAUUUGCUAUCGCAAAGGCACCGUGCUUAAAUAUUCAAUACUACAACAACACUACAGAGAGUUUUUACUAGAACGAAAAAAUUUUGCAUCAAGCCCUCUACACUGCAUUAAUAUUUGCAAAGUUACAAUAUAUAUUAGGUUUGUCCACUCUAAAAUAGGACACUAUGGGUUUAUCCACCUUAAAAAAGGACACUAUGGGUUUGUCUACCCUAAAAUAGGAUAUGUUGGGUUCGUCCACCCUAAAAUAGGACAUAGUGGGUUAGUUUUCCCUCAAAUAAGACCCUUUUUCAUAUUUGCCUUCAAUUUUACAUUUAUUCUUGAAUAUAUCGCAAUGCCUUAAUCAUUUAUUUACUUUUAUAAUUAUUAUUUUAAUUAAUUAGUUAAGCAUCGUAUUCUAUCCUUUAAAUUUUCUCAAAAUUAUUAGAGAAAAUCGCACCAAGCACUACAAUACACUUUCGGUUCGUCCACCCUAAAAUAGGAUGUUAUGGGUCGGUCCACCCUAAAAUAGGAUGCUCUGGGUCUGUCUACCCUAAAAUAGGACACGUUGGGUCCGUCCACCCUAAAAUAGAACAUAAUUGGGAUAGUCUGCCCUCUAAUAAGACAUUAUGCAUGUUGCCUUUGGUUGAAUAUUUAUGUUUGCUUGCCUUUCAUUGGACAUUUUGCAAUGCAUUUAUCAUUUAUUUAUUUUAGUUUGAUAUGCAUUGUAUGCUAUCUUUUGAAUUUCUUGAAAAAUCAAGUUUAAUUAAUCAUUUAUCUUUUAUUAAGCAUUGCUUUGCAGUUUGAUAAAAUAUUGGGUCCGCCCACCCUAAAAUAGGACAUAUUGGCAUUUUGGAUUCAUCCAUUUUAAAAUAAGACACAUUGGGAUGGUCUGCCCUCUGAUAAGACAUUUUUAUGUAUAUGCCCGCUUUCAAUUGAAUAUUUAUGCUUACUUGCCUCUAAUUGAACGUCUAGUGAAGCCUUAUUAUUAUUUAUUUAUUUAUUUAUUUUAAUUAAAAAAUGCAUGUCAUCUUUUGAUUUCUUGGAAAAUCAAGCUCAGUUAUUCAUUUGUUUGUUAUUAAGUAUUGAUUUUGCUAAUAUUUCUACUUAGAUUGAUGAAUUUUACUAUCAUAGAAUUUGAAGUUGUUACUUCUAAAAUACUGCACGUUCAACCAAUCACAUCUAGAGAAGCGAUGGAUGCAUUUUUCUCAUAGUGUUUCUGUAAGAAUUUUAUUUAUAUUUUUCUCUGUUUUUCUAAUUUACUUUGUUUGCUAAAUUUUUUAUAAAGACUUGGCAGGAAGAAAAACUCGUAUGCAGAAAAUGAGACAUAGCACAACAUGGAACUUUUUCAUAGCAGUAAACUGGGACAUAGUCUAAAGAGGAAUAUCAAACUCUUUGAACGCGAGCUAAAAGAGAUGACUUCCACCACCAUCAAACCACAUCCCUAUCAGAAGGCAUGUGGAAAUUUUUGGGAUUUUUGUUUCAAUAUCACUUUCGGAGUACUUCUAAACUCAUACCGAGGGUAACCUUCUCUUUCUUUCAAAUCCAAGUGACAACACACUCAGAGUUUGGAAAUUAUAUCCAAGUAUAGUCUUACCUAUGGAUGUGAAGAGCUCCACAUUCAUGGUUAAGAGGUUACAAGCCUCAUUUCCGUAACUCAAUUUUCUGUCUCUCAUCCUAAGCCAAAGGUCGUCUUAGCAUAAAAGACUAUACUUUCUACUGAUCGAGUCGAACUACAGGCAGUCUGAUUCCCUGAGUCUUAGGGAUAUGUAGGUUAAGCUCCAUGUGGAAAACUUGAGUGCAUUCCAACCUCCCCCAAAUUCGCUUAUUCCCCAGCUUUCUGAUUUGACUAAAAUUCAAAAUCGGAAUAGCUCGUGAAUUCUUUGAAAUUAUGCUAAAAAAUCAAGCAUUGUGAACUAUAGGUGGACUAAGUUUUCAUGUAACCCGAGAUAUGUAGGAAACUCAGAAAUCAAAUUUCGGCCACAAUCCUGUCUAACAUUCAUCAUACAUAUCCUCCUAGAUCAUAGCAGCUAGGACAAAACUAUGUUACUAGUCAACUUCCUUUUUUGGAAAGAGGGACAACUGUUGACACUCAAUUUUGUCCCAUCUUUCUUUCAAGCAUCUCUUCGCGCUUCGAAAUAAUUUUUAUAAUUUUAAAAAAGAUGCAUGUAUGUUACUUCUAUAAUUAGUAGUUUAUGCAAGUCUUGCCAACAUUUGUAUUUUAAAUUAAAAAAAUAAUCAUCAAUGAAAUUAUUAUUAUUAUUAGUAUUAGUAUUAGUAUUAGUAUUAUUAAUCACCAUUAUUAUUUAUUACUAUUUUUCUCAUAAUUUAAAUUAUCGUCGCGUUCCCUAUAAACUUGCACAAAAGGCAUUAUAUUUACUUUAUUUUUUAUUUAAUUGAAGAAAUAUUUUUAUGGUUUUAUACUUUAUAAAAACUAUCGUUCGACUUCGACAUUUGUCACGCAACUUUGUUCAAAAGCGUAUAUUUUAAUAUCAAAUAAUUAUUUUAUUAUUAGUAGUAGUAGUAGUAUUUAUUUGGAUACUUUUAAUAUGUUUAUUGAAAGUGUUAUUUUCUAUUAAUUUAGAAGCUCGAAGAUUACAAGAAAGAAAGUAUUUAAAUCAGCCCCUUUCCUUUUUUAUUUCAACAACCACAACCCAAAUAAAAAACACCCACAAAAGUAGGCCAAAUACCCACUCCAACAAUUAACCCAUUAUGCCCACUUAACACACCAGCAAAAUCGACCCAAGCCCAGUGACCAUGACCCGGCCCACAUCUAUAUUCCCCUUUCCCUUAUCAGCAACAUUCAACAAUACACCAUACAAACAAACCCUUUACAACAUACGUAUAGCAGCAACAGCGUACAACACCAACAUCAACAGCUGUUGAAAAUAGCAAACAACAGCAACAACCUACAACACCAGCAACAAUAACGCAUAACAGUUUCAACCAAAUGAACCUCUCUCUCUCCCAAACGUCUAAAUUUUGUAGACCUUAACCUUUGUUAUUUGACUUUUGUUCAAAGAUAGAUUGCUUCUUACUCCAAAAUCUUAUCCAAAUCAAAAGUAUCACAGUCAAUCUGAAUUUGUGGGAUAUGUUUUCACUCUUUUUCUCAACUUUUUGGCAAGUUCCUAACCACUCCUUGACUAAAACAGACUCUAUUUUGAAUUUUAAUAGAGAUUUUUCCAAUAUAAAUAGGAGUGGAUACUUCCAUUUCGGGGCAUGGGUUUUAAGGAGAUUCUUUGGGAAAAAAUUGGAGAUUUUGGAGGAGCAUUCCUCUAAUCUCACAUAACUAAAGAAUUCAAGAAGGAAUUCCAUCGAAAAAAUUAAUUUUGGCAAAAUUAUCGAACUCUGAGGAAACUAAUCGAAACUCCAGUGGUGAAAGUUCAUUUGAUUAAGGCCCGUUGUCCCAGUUCUUGCUCGAAAAAAGGUAAAACUUCAUCCCUUUGGCAUUUCCUUCUAUGUUUGUAUUAAGAAAUCUGAAAACUCAUUAAGACGAUUAAAGUGGGAUACGCUUGGAUGGGUAACUAGAUAUAAAUUCAAUUGGUUUGGAAUGGUAAUCCCUUAAAUAUUUGAAUAUGUGAUUCUUUUUUAUUUUAUUUUAUUUAUUUAUUUAUUAGCAUUUGUGAGUACAAACUAAUGGAGAAUGGCUGCACUGUUUUGUGUUUACUGUGGGUUGAAUUUGUUUGGAAUCGUCCAUCUCGAAAAUUUAUGAAUUUGAAUUACCCUUUCCUGUGCAUAGAUUGAGUUUGACGGGGAAAGGGUUGAUGGUUUUGUUCUUCUUUAAGUCACGAUCUAAAGCUGCUCAUAAAGUUAUUAUAAGCAUGAUUAAGGCCAAAACUAGUUUUUCCCCAUCUCUUGUUGUAUGAAAAGAAAUCUGGACAGCUUACAACAGUGGGCCACAAGCCCAAUUCUUCUUCCCAACCUUUUUAUUUACUUGUAAUUGAUUAUUUGUAUUUGUUUUAAUAUUAACACUAAUCUUUAAUUAAUCUAGAUAAACUCCUCAAGAUAUCGCCAUUUUUAGUUUAUCUUCAUUUUUCCUUCCGUUACUUAUUUGAAUUUUCUUUUAUUCUUAUUAUUUGUUAUUUUUAUGAAGAAAAAUAAAUUUUAUGAUAAUCUUUUUGAACACAAACCUUUUCACAAUAAAAUGACUUUUGUUUGUUCAAAUAAUAAUUAAUCUCAUUUUGGUUAAAAAGAGUUUUCUCAAGCAUGAAAAGAAAUAAGUUUUCUUAAAUUGAAAAGUGUUAUGGUAUAUAUCAAUUAUAGUGAAUGACUAUCAAGAUCUAUUUAAUGUCUAUUGGAAUUUGAUGUAUCCGUCUUUUAGUGUGUAACUAGGAGCAUAUUUUUUCUAUAAAUAUAAGGGCUUCCUUCAUUGUAAAUUAUCCCCCAGGAGAAGAAAUAAGAAUUACUCUCUCUAUUCUCUCUACUCUUCUUCUUUAUUCUUUCUUGUUUUAUAACAUGUUAUCAGCAACUGAUUCUACCAUCUCAAAUUUGAAGGCUAAGGUUAAGGUAUUAUUUUUUUAUUCCUUCCCUUUUUCUAUAUGGCUAACAAUCUUAUGAAGUGUGAGUUCGUUCCCUUUCAAAGUUCGGGAAAGAACUGUAUUUCAUGGGUGUUGGAUACUGAAAUCAACCUAGAUGCUAUGAGUCUUGGAGACACCAUAAAGGAUGAAAAUACAGCAUUUAGUCAAAACCGUGUUAAGGCUAUGAUUUUCUUGCAUCAUCAUCUUGAUGAAGUUCUGAAAAUUGAAUACCUUACUACUAAGGAUCCACUCGUAUUGUGGAAUACCUUACUACUAUAAGUCUGUUCAUGAGUACAAUUCUGCCAUGUUCAGAAUUUCUUCUCAAUUGAAACUAUGUGAAGAGACGGUCAAUGAUAAUGAUAUGAUGUAAAAGACGCUCUCCACUUUUCAUGCCACGAAUGUGCUAUUACAAUAGCAAUAUCUAGAUAAAGGUUUCAAGAAGUAUACUAAACUGAGUUCUCAUCUUCUCAUGGCUAAACAAAAUAAUGAUUUGUUGAUGAAAAAUCAUGAGAACCGACCAACUGGAUCUAUACCAUUUCCUGAAGUGAAUGAUGUGCACGCUCACCAUGCUAGGUGUGGAAAAGGUUGCAGCCCUGGUCGUGGACGUGGUCAUGAUGACCAAGAAAGAAAUCCUGUUCCGUGUGUUAAUCAGUCAUCGAAUAAAAAGAAAAAAAAAGAAACGUGAAGCAAUUACUUAUUUCCGAUAUGGUGAAAAAGGACAUUAUUCACGUGAUUGUCGUGCUCUCAAGCACUUGGUUGAUCUUUAUCAAGCAUCACUAAAAAAGGAAAUGAGAGAAAUUCUGAGGCUAACUUUCUCUCUGAAAAUGUUGUUGAUAUCACAAGCUUAGAUGUAGCAAAUUUUUUCGAGCACCCCAAAGGAAAGAUUGAUCACUUGAUUGGUGAUAGUUCCGUAAACAUGGAAGAAUGAGUGAUUUUUAAUUUUUUUAUUAUUAUUGAUAAGAAUUAGUUAAUAAAGAAUCAUGUAAAAGUAGUUGUUUGCAUGAGUAUUAGUUUUUGGUUUGUAUUGAUUAGUUCAAUUAUAUUAUUGUAUUUUAUUAUUGAAUUGAAUGGAAUUUCAAUUUCUUCAUUAUUAAAAAAAAAGGGACGCUACGUGCUAAGAAACAGAGAAAAUGUGUUGUGUGUCAUGCAAACCAAGCACUCCACAUAUUUUUUCCAUGUUAAUAUUUUUUUAAUAUCAUAAUGUACACAUAUUGUCAUUAAUCAUCCAUAUGUAUUUAGAUUAUAUAAUAUAAUAAUAUUAGUAUAUUCUUUAUAAAAUAUAAUAUAAUAAAUUGCAUAUUAACGUACUGGACAAAAUGUAAUAUGACAAUAUUAUAUUAUUAUUGUAUAUUAUUACAUGUUAAUGUUUCGUACUAUUAAUUAUAAUAAUAAUAUUGUAAUACCCCGAGAAUCGCAACCAAUAGUAGAACCAUGAUUCAAGCUCAUGAUAAAGAAAUCUUAGUUAUUUGGUAGUUUUAUGAUCAAGUUUAAUGUGUAUUAAGGCCUUAAAUACGUCCUAGCUAUUAGACGAAUCAAAACAUCCCUUACCGAUUGAAUUCUUGAGAAGGACAUUGCCAUAGGCAUCUUCAAAUGAGCAUAUCUCCCAUUAUACAAAGAAUUUUGGAGCUCAUAACCUACCAACAGGUAGAGCAUUGAAUAAGUUGACCAUCGAUACUAAUUUCAUCAAAAUCUGACAUCGGAUGAAGAAGUUAUGGCCGUUUUACUGAGUGUGGUUGGAAUCGCCUAGGUUUGACGGUCGACCUGGUGGACCGUAAAGUCCUUGGCGGACCAUCGAUCGUCCUGUAAAAACAUGGCAGUGACUCCCUUUUUUGGCUAUCAUGCGACGGCCAAAAUGGUGGACCGCCAAAAAUCUGACAGACCAUCAAGGGGACCGUCAAGUCGAGGCAGAAUGUCCCAUUUUUAGCCCCCGAGUGACGGACGAUCUGGCGGACCAUCAAUUUCCUAAUGGAUCGUCACUUCGACCAUCAUGUCGAGGCAGAAUGUCCCAGUUUUGGCACCAAAGUGACAGACGAUCUGGUGGACCGUCAGUUCGACCGUUACAGACCCCGAUCAGCAAUUUUUAACUCUCUUUAAAAAGGCAUUUUGGUCUUGUAUAUCUAUAUAUAUAUAUAUAUAUAUAUAUAUAUAUAUAUAUAUAUAUAUAUACACAGGUGAGAAAACCUCAUUUUUANNNNNNNNNNNNNNNNNNNNNNNNNNNNNNNNNNNNNNNNNNNNNNNNNNNNNNNNNNNNNNNNNNNNNNNNNNNNNNNNNNNNNNNNNNNNUAUCUCAUUUCUCUUCCAAGAAAUAUCUAGAAUCUAGGGUUUCUCUCCAACCCAAAAUCCAAUCUUCUUCCAAGAAAAUUCAAGAAUCUUCCAUAGAGUUUCAAAGUGUUUCAAGAAUCAAACUCUCCCGGUCAAAGGCUUCAAGAAUCCUAAUUCAAGAGUGUAAGAAGGAGUCAAAAACAAGUCUCUUCAUCUUAAAUUCCUAACCCAAGGUAUGUAGAUGUUGAUUCUUGGGUCCCGCUCAUCCAAGAAGCUCAAGAACCCUUUUUAAAAUAUAAAGACUUUAUGUUUGUGAGAUUCCAUGAUUUGUAUGAGUUAAAAUUGAUGCUCCAUGUGAUGUUGGUGAUAAACCCUCUUGAAGUUGCUCUCUAUGUGAUGUGUUCAUGACUUUUAGGUGUAGAAUUGGCUGAAUAAGCGAAGCAUGUCCCCCAUAGGUUUGAUAAAAGCUUAGGAGAAGCAUAUGGGCCAUUAUUGUUGACACCUCAUUUUUGCCCCCUAUAACUAAGUUUAAUUCAGAGCUUCUUCGAUUUUCAAAUAAAAUUAUAGCAUUUAUUUUAUCUGAACAAAAGAUUUUCAAAAUAUUUAUUUGGGUAAAAUUGUAAUCUUAAGUGGCGAUUAUAUACGUUUGUGUUCAAUUAUAUGAAAUUUUAUAAAUUUGUUACUUAAAAAUUUCAUUUUUACAAAAUAUCGAAUUCCAGUCAAAGCUUAUUUUGAAAAUGAUUUCAAAUGAUUAAAAUCUGGAUUUGAAUAUAAUUUGCUCUCGAAAAUAAUUUAUUUGGACAAAUAUGUGUUUGAUUUUUAUUAAAUUAAGAAGCUCGGGAUUAAACAAGUAUUUAUUUCGUAUCGAGUUUCGGGUCAAUUUAGUCACAUUAUCAAAUAUAACCACAAUUGAAAUCAAGUUGACCACAAUUGCAAUGCAAUUAAUCAAAUUGAUAUUCAAAAUGGUUAGUAUUUGAAUGAAGCUUUCUAAUUUAAUUCGACUACUUUUUAAAGAACCUUUCUCAUUUCUAAUCUCCCAACAACAAGUUUUGGGCCUAUCCCAGGCAACAACAAUCAGCCUACAGUGGCCCAUUCCCUCCUUCAUUUUUUCAGCAACACCACCCCAAUAUUAUGUCUUACCCCGGCCCAGUACCAUGUUUUUCCUCUUUCCUUCAAGAACCAGUACAAUAGCAAAGACCCAUUUCAACACCUACAACUCUCCUCAACCUGAACUUUGAUCUGAAUCGCGACAACAACAUCAUGAACCAUUGAUCCAUGUCCAACGAUGAUACCUGACCCCAUCCCAUUCCUUUUUCACUGUUGUCACGCGUUUCGCGCAUUCGUAGGACAGGAAACUCCUUGAACGCUCUAGAACAAGCCAAGGUAUCUCUCCCAACGGCUCAAAUCCACAAAUUUUGGGAUAACUCAUACGGAUUCAUACAUAUUUGGUAAAUUUUCAUUGGUUUUUGGGUACAUUUUUGUCUUUCCCACAUUUGAUUGGUCCACUGGUUUCGGAUUUGUGGAAAGAAAAUCCAAAUUGGUUACGACCCAGGGAGGCUAGGGGUUUUAAAUUUCAAAUUCCCUCUGAAAAUCCCUAAAAUCUCCCCCAAUUCCCGUCUUCUAUAUAAGAACGGAUUAGGUCACAUUUUGAGAGGUUGGGGAGAGAGGUCGAGGAAGUUGGGGUUCAAAAAUUAGGGUUCAAAAAGGGGUUUCUUUGGAUUAGGAGAUUUUCUGAGCUAGUUAGGUCAAAAACCAAAAGAGUGCAAAAACUUUCUUUGAUUGAGAAGAAGAGCAGGAGGAAAGCAGAGAAAAGGGUUUGGGGAAGCGGGGGAUUCUUAGCUCUUUAUAGAUAAUUUUCCUUCUUGUUUCGAAAUUGGGGUAUGUGGAAAAUGGUGGUUUCAAACCUUUCUCUGAGAAAUUUAGGAGUUUGAAAAUUGAGGGUAAGAAUAGAAGAAGGAAAGAAUUUUUUGAUUAAAGAUUCAAUCUGUGCCUAUUAGGAAUUCUGUUCCCAAAAAAUUGGUUUGCCAAUAAAGUUCUGAAGCCAAUUACGAUACUUUUUCGGUGGUAGCAAAUCCAGAAUAAGCUCGAGUUUCGUUUUGCUGCUCCCUUGAGGGUAAUACCCUUUUCCAUUUAAGAUUUAUCUGUUUCUACUUCAUCUUGAUCUUCUAUAGUCGUGAAUAAAUUUUUUAGUAUGAUUGUAUGCUGGGUUAUUUGCUGGUAGAUGGCUUUGAUAGCCGUAGGUAGUUGUUUUGGUAGAUUUUUUAUUUAAUACUCUUAUUUUUUUGUGAAAUUCUUAAGGUUUGUAUAGCUGACUUUAUGUUAAAGUUUCAUGUUCUGCGAUUCUGUUUGAGUUGCUGGUAUUUUGUUAAGGCUGGUUUUGUUAUUUAAAGUUUCAUGCUUUUGAUUUUGGUUUGAGUUACUGGUAUCCUGUUAAGGCUAGUUUCGUGGCUAAAGUUUGAUUCUGUUUGGUCAUUUCAGACUGCUGGUAUGUUAUCAUGGUUGGCUUCAGGGUUUAAAGUUGCGUACUUUGAUCGUUUUGGGUCGAUGGCGCCCUAUUCUAGCUCAUCUUAUUUUAAAGUUUCGGGUUUUAUUCUUAUUUUGAUAGUUUUUAGGUCGAGGGUGUUUUGUUCAUUGUUGGUAUUUAACGCCAUCUUAUUUGUUGAGACUUCCCCAUGAGUUCUUUGGCUUCCCAAAUGACAAAAAAUGACGAGGAUACGCUCGACACAAACUGACAAAUCCCAUGAUCCCUCGAUGACCAUUUUGGCUAUUAGAACUCGUUUGAGUUUGACAAAAGAGAAUGAGGAUGAUAGUAGUGCCCCGCCACUUUCCUUUUAGCUUUAUCUGCCAUGUCUUUUUUUGUUUGGAUUCGAAUCUUUUAUCUUUCCUUGUCUCUUGAGCUUGUUGCCAAUACAUGAUCGGGUUAGGGAGAUGAAUGCAAUAAUGGGGUAUUUUAGUAUGUUUAUUUAGAAGGAAUGGCCUUAUUUUGUUCUCCUCAUAGAAAUGGAGCAUCACUGUUGUAUGUCUCUUUGAAUACCUACUAUCAAUGGAACUUGGAUUUAUAGGUCAAUUUCACUUCUUUUAUGUGUUUCAAUCAGUCUCUUGACUAGAUAUGGGGUUACGUUUAGGUAUGAAGUUCUCAAAACAGCUUGCAAACAGUUUUCUCCUGUCCCAUACAAUAUGAGAGUAUCAUAGAGUGUGGUAUAGAUUGGUUUAUUUGAAGCACAUGACUGCAUUUCGAUUUUAGUGUUAGAAAUUAAUAGUGUUCUUGAUUUAAGUGAGACCCUCUUUGCUUUUGUUGAUUGGAUUGUCCUGUAUACUGUACAACAUACAAGAAAAGAGGUGAAACGAACUUAUCUUGGUUCAUCCAUAGCAUAAAUUUAAGUAUCUAUUUUUGGGAAUUAUCUUCAGCUCUUCAUUUUUGUAUUCCAGUUGAGUGUUUUGAUAGCCAACUGAUAAAAUUUUCUUAGUUUCUGUGUAUUCCUUCUCAUAAGUAAGCACCGGAACCUAUCGUUUUGUCAAAAGGAAUGGACUGCGAUUUACUAUUAAUGUACGGUCCUUUAACAAAUGUUAUAGCAUCCCUCUACUGCAACAAACAAAACCAACAUUACGUCAUAUGCUCUCAUCCAAUGGUCAUUACAUGCGAUUAGAAAAAGUGACUGUUUACUAGAAUUCUUUCAUGCAUAUGCAUACUUUCAUGCCAAAGUCCAGCAUAAUAUGGCGUGUUCUCUUUGAUCUUUAUGUUAAAUGUUCAAAACCAAUUAAACACAGUUGCAUGUCGUAUAUAUCACUAAUCUAGUAGCUAAGUUUCCUUUUAUGUAUCGAAGUAGUGAUUUUUUUUAAUAGCUUUGAACUUUCUGAAUUUUUUUGUUAUAAAAGUAAUUCAUUUUUAUGAACGCGUAUUAAUUCAUAUAUCUUUUCUUUGCAUGCACCCUCCUUGGAGUCCAAAUGGGCUUCUUCUCUCUUUGUAUUUCAUAAAUAGGCCAAUGAGGCCUAUCUUUUCGAGUCAAGCCCGAAUGAAAGCCUAAAGUUAAGCACGUGGCAUAUGGUACGAGAAGUCAAAAGAGGAAUAAUGGAUUAAAAUCUCAUCUUAGAAGCGACUAAGGGAUUAGAAAGUUUCUUUUCUUUUAUUUGUUUAUUUAUUUUGUCAUCUUUUUUUAUUUAUUUGUUUAUUUAUUUAUUCCUUUAUUUCAUUUGGGCCUCGAAACCAAAGUUGUAAAUUUAAUGUAGGUGGAGCCAGACUCGAGCCAAAGGCUCAAAAACUAGACUAAGACAGGUGAAAUGGGUUGAAAACCCAACUAGAUUAGGACUGGGCCGAUGGUUUGGGCUUGAAAGCCUAAAUCACUACUUCCCCGCUUUUCUCUCCUUUUCCUUUCGUUUACUUAUUUACAUAUUUCUUUGCGAACUUAGUUAAAAUCCCAAACUAAGUCGCCUAAAAACUGGCUUUGUAUAAACACUAAAAUAUCCCUAAAAUUGCUUUUCUUUACAAAAAUCAACUUUUUUUCCAAAGUUAGUCAAAGCCUAUUUUCAAACAGUCCGGAUAACCGCAAGUUAGCGGACGUUUUAGGUGUCUAACACCUUCCUAAAACGUUAAUAGGAACUGCUUAUCUAGAAUUUCUAACUUAAAACGAUUUUCCUGUUUUGAAUCGUUUGAAGUAACUCUCUAAAGGUUUCUUAAUUCCUUUUUAAAAUUAAGUGGUGACUCUCAACAAGUCCAAAAUUUUCGUCAAAACAAUUAUAGUAUGUUGAAUAGGAAGCCCCAAAUUGUGAGCUAGUCUAUGCAUGCCUAGUGUUUGAUAAAAUGCCUAAGUGAAUAAAUUAUUCCAUAAUAGUAGGAAAUCCCUAAAUAAGUGUGAAACUAUGCAAGUCUAGUGUUUGUUGAAGGACUUUAGUGAACAAGUGGAGAUGUGAUAGUAGUAAAUUCCCCAAUUAUAUGCUCUUUGAUAUAUGCUAAGUUUUUAAUACAUGCCAAGUGGUUAGCAAGUAAGUUGUGACGAUGAACGAAUGAUUGUGAUGAUACAUGAAUGAUUAUGAUGAUGAAUGAAUGCUUGUGAUGAUGAAUUAAUGAUUGUGAUAAUGAAUGGAUGGUCGUGAUUAUGAAAGAAUGAUUAUGCUUUACUUUUAUGUUAUCGAGUCCUGGGAGUAUUUAUACCCGACAAUAGAGAUGUUGUCUAGAGCCUGUGUCAGUUUCUCGAUAAUUCCAAUCGAGCCAUGAUUCUCAGAACUUAGUGAAUUAUAAACUCUGUAUCCUCAAACAGUUGCAGAACUUAAGAAAGCUCAGUAAUCUCAGUUAUCUCUAUAAUCUCUGUAUCCCUAGUAAUCUAGCCUCAGUCUUGUAAUCAGUUUAGAUCUAAAAGUAUUCAAGUGAUUAAAUUCUAAUCUCUGAAGCGAUUCGAGUAAUUUAUUCAAGCUAUGUAUCGUCAGUCAGAUACCAUGAUUCGAUACCAUUUCCAGCAAAUACGAAAUUAAGUGAUUUCAGCUUAUUCAUUCUUAUCCUUUGAUAAACAUGAUCAGUAUCAGAUUUAGUUUAGUUGUUUUCAGUUAAGAAUUCAGUUCAGAGUCUUUCAAUUGGGAGUAGAAACAAGCACCGAGCAAAAGAAGGGAUGGCAGAUCCUCUCGUCAGCGAGAGAGAGAGAGGCCAGAGUCGUUAGUGGCAAUCCCCAAACUCCAGAACUACAUAGCCAGCACAGAAAAUAGGAGUUACCACCAGAAAAGGUUGUUACCUCCAGAGAGAGAGUAUUGACUAUUAUAUUACCUUAGGUCGACUGCCUGAUAGGGUCAUUCGUCAAAGAGGAUUGACCAGAGAGAGGUCUUUACCCGUGGCAUGGUAUUGACACCCUUCCAGCUGGGAUUAUAGGUUGGACCCCACCUGUGGUAGUUCGGGGCAUGUCAGUUAAGUAACUACUUUCCUCAGUUUCAGUUUCAGUCUCAGUUUCAGAAAUUAGGACUGUUAGAAGCAGUCAUCUAUCAUUAUGAGGAACUCAGAUAGUUCCAUCGAUUCAUGGACUAUCCUGACAAAUAGGCUUGGUCACGUAUACAGUUAUUUGAAAUCAUAUUCAGAGAUAUGCCGCCAGAUAGGCUUGAUUUACAGUCUCAGAUUUUAUUGAGUAUCCUUAUUUUUAGAUCCGAAUAUAAUCAUAUUUCUUAUAAUUGAUAAUAGUUUUUGAAUAUCAUCCGUUAGAAAGGUUGAUCUCUAAUCCUGUCAAUCGAAAGCAGUAAAGCUUAGAAUUUAGUCCUUGAUGUAAGUACAUCCAGAUCCUCAGUUCUCAGUAUCAGAUGAGUCAGUAAUUCGAUAUCUCAGUGUCAGUACGGAGUUCAGCCUGCAGUAAAGUGGUAUCCGAGUUUCAGUACCUAGAGUUGUGAUGAUUGUGUUUACGGUCUGUCCAUUCAUGUAUGUGUUCUCGUGCGGCAUCUUCAUGAUUAUUCAGUUUAGAUAUUGUGUAUGUAUAAACCCUUGCAUUAGCCUACCUCGUCUACAUACUCAAUACAUUUCUGUACUGACGCAUUUGCGCUAUGGUGUUUUAUUUGGCACCAUAGGUUUAGAGGCACAGGAUCCAGAGUAUCCUCAGCAAUUCAAUCCCAGUUAGCAGCAGUAGCAGUGAGUCCUUUUCUUUCGAGGAUGAAUCUCAGUUUAUUUAUAUUGCAUCAGAUUUUGUUUAUAUUUUUUUUGUUGACAAAGUUAGUUGGGGACCUGUCCCAUCAACUCCACAGUUCAUACAGUUUAGAGGCUUUUCAGACAGAUGACAGAUGUAUUAGUAUUCAGUUUUCAGAGUAUGUAUAGAUGUGUUGAACCUUAUGUUAUUUGGAGUAUGUCAUUUUAUUUGAAGAUAUGAAUAAUUUUCAAAGUAAGCCGUCCAAUUAUGAAAAUAUUUGUUUGAUUGAUUCUGGCACUACACAUACGAUAUUAAAAAAUGAGAAAUAUUUCUCUCAUCUGAACAUGGGCAAGAUUAAUGUUACUACAAUUUUUGGUAGUGCUAAUUUGAUUGAAGGCUUCGGAAAAGCCAUUAUAAUCUUGCCUAAGGGAACUAAACUCAUCAUAAAUAAUGCUAUAUUUUCUGCUAAGUCUCAAAGAAACUUGAUAAGUUUUUAAGAUAUCCGUGAAAAUGGUUAUCAUAUCAAGACAAUUGAUGAGAUGAAUCUUGAAUAUCUUUGUAUCACCCAAAAUAUCUCUGGGAAGACAUGUGUUAUUGAAAAGUUCUUUGUUUUAUCUUCUGGCCUGUAUUGGAUAAAUAUUUAUGCAAUUGAGGCACAUUCUAUAGUAAACCGAAAGUUUACUUAUUCCAAUACUUUCGUACUUUGGCAUGAUCGACUAGGACAUCCUAGAUCUAUAAUGAUGAGACGAAUCAUAGAAAAUUCUAAUGAACAUAUAUUAAAGAACUUGAAGGUUCUUUCAAAUGGUGAUUUUUCAUGCAAUGCUUGUUAUCAAGGCAAGCUGAUUGUGAGGCCAUUGCCAACAAAAGUUGGGACUGAGUCCCCCGCAUUCUUGGAAUGCAUACAUGAGGAUAUUUGUGGACCCAUUUACCCACCUAGUAGGUCAUUUAGAUACUUUAUGGUCCUACUAGAUGCUUCUUCUAGAUGGUCUCAUAUGUGCCUUUUGUCAUCUCGCAACUUGGCAUUUGCAAAAUUGUUGGCACAAAUAAUACGAUUACGGGUACAGUUUUCCGAUAAUCAAAUUAAGUUUAUUCUCCUUAAUAAUGCUACAGAAUUUUCAUCCCAAGCAUUUAAUGACUAUUGCUUAUCGAUUGGGAUAAGAGUGGAACAUUCUGUACCCUAUGUUCACACUCAAAAUGGUCUUGCUGAGUUAUUAAUUAAAUAUUUGCAGUUGAUAGCAAGACCAUUGCUUAUGAAAACUAAGUUGCCCACUUCUGUUUGAGGUCAUGCAAUUUUGCAUGCUGUAACACUUGUUCAUUUUAGACUGAUAAAUUAUCAUAAUUUUUCUUCGUAGCAAUUGAUUUUGGGUCAAGAGAUUAAUAUAUUUCAUCUGAGAAUUUUUUGGUGCGGUGUUUAUGUGUUUAUAGAACUACCAAACCGCACCAAGAUGGGCCCCCAAAGAAGGUUAGGAAUUUAUGUUGGGUUUGAAUCACCCUCCAUUAUUUGUUAUCUUGAACUAUUAAUAAGAGAUAUGUUCACUACUCGAUUUGCAGAUUGUUGAUUUGAUGAGAUAGUUUUCCCAAAAUUAGGGGGAGAAGGUAGUGACAUCAAAAGAGAAAUUUUGUAGAAAAUCCAUCACUAUCUCAUCUUGAUCCACGUGCUUCUAUUUGUGAGCAAGAAGUAUAAAAGAUUAUUCAUCUGUAGAAAAUUGCUAAUCAAAUGCUGAACGCAUUUACAGAUUUGAAAAGGAUCACUAAAUCACAUAUUCCUGCAGAGAAUGUCCCAUAUCGAUUUGAUGUUCCUAAAGGACCAUCCACUAGUGUCAUAGCUAAUGAAUCUAAAGCACGCUUAAAGUGGGGAAGAUCAUUAGGUUCUAAGGAUCGAAAUCCUACUAAAAGAAAAACAAAUGGUCAAGAUGACACUACGAAAGAUCCUCAUAUGUAAGUUCAAGAUUUAAGCAAUGUUAAUAUUUCUGAAGGAAUUAAUGAGCCUGAGACUCAAGAAAAUGAGAAACUAUCCAUAAAUUCAAGUGAUGUUGAAACUAAUUUGAAUCGAUCUAAAAUAGUAGUGGAUUAUGUCUUUGCAUAUAAUGUUGCAACAAAAAUCAUGCAAAAUAGUGAGGAUCUUGAACCUCGAUCUGUCACAGAAUGUCGAUAAAGAAAUGACUGGUCAAAAUGGCAAGAAGUAAUUCAAUCUGAAUUGAAUUCACUUGCCAAACGUGAAGUUUUUGGACCCAUAGCUCAAACACCUAAUGAUGUUAAGCCUGUUGGCUAUAAAUGGUUCUUUGUGCAAAAAUAAAAUGAGAAAAAUGAAAUACAAAGGUAUAAGGCACGCGUUGUUGCACAAGGUUUUUCACAACGGCCUAGUGUCGAUUAUGACGAGACAUAUUCACCAGUUAUGGAUGCAAUAACAUUGCGUUAUCUUAUUAGUUUCACUGUCCAUGAGAGACUUGAAAUGCAUUUAAUGGAUGUGGUAACAGCCUAUCUAUAUGGAUCACUUGAUAAUGAGAUAUACAUGAAAAUUCUCGAAGGAUUUAAAAUGCCGAAAGCAUAUAGUUCAAAGCCUCGAGAAAUAUAUUUCGUUAGAUUGAAAAGAUCAUUGUAUGUUUUGAAGCAAUCUGGACGUAUGUGGUAUAACCGUCUUAGUGGAUAUUUAUCUAAGGAAGGUUAUACGAAUGAUGAAACUUGCCCAUGUAUUUUCAUAAAAAGAACAACGUCGGAGUUUGUUAUACUUGUUGUCAAUGUUGAUGACAUAAACCUUAUUGGAACGCUAAUAGAACUUCAAAAGUCAAUUGAUUACCUAAAGAAAGAAUUUGAGAUGAAAGAUCUCGGAAAAACAAAGUUAUCCCUUGGUUUGCAAAUUGAGUAGUUGACAAAUGGUAUCUUUGUCCAUCAAUCUGCCUACAUAGAAAGGGUAUUGAAAUGAUUCUAUAUAGAUGGAGCACAUCCACUAAGUACUCCGAUGGUUGGUCGAUCACUUGAUGUGAAUAAGGAUUUAUUUCCACCUCAAGAAAAGAAUAAGGAAUUCCUUGGUCCUGAAAUACUAUAUCUCAGUGCAAUUGGUGCACUAAUGUAUCUUGCAAAUACUACAAGGCCAGAUAUAGCCUUUUCAAUUAAUUUGUUAGCAAGGUAUAGUUCUGCUCCUACUAGGAGACAUUGAAAUGGGAUCAAACACAUAUUACGGUAUCUAAAAGGGACUACCGAUAUGGGAUUAUUUUAUUCUAAAAAUUACAGUUCCGAUGUUAUUGGUUAUGCUGAUGCUGGGUACUUAUCUGACCCGCAUAAAGCUUGGUCUCAAAUAGGCCAUGUGUUUAUAUGUAGGGGUACUGUCAUAUCUUGGAGAUCAACAAAGCAGUCUAUCGUAGCCACUUCAUCGAAUCACGCUGAGAUUAUAGUUAUUUAUGAAGCAAGCCGAGAGUGUGUGUGGUUGAGGUCCAUAAUACAUCUCAUUUGAGAAAAAUGUGGCUUGAAAUGUGACAAAGUAUCCACGAUUUUAUAUGAAGAUAAUCCAGCAUGCAUAGCACAACAUUAAGGAGGAUUCAUAAAAAGAGAUAGAACGAAGCACAUUUCUUCUAAGCUCUUUUACACACAUGAGCUCCAAAAGAAUGGUGAUAUUGAUGCACAACAGAUUCGUUCAAGUGGCAAUGUGGCUAAUUUAUUCUCCAAGUCUCUUCCAACUACAACUUUCAAGAAUAUGGUGCACAAGAUCGGAAUGCAAAGGUUCAAGGAUGUUCUUAUUAGGGGAGCUAAUACGCGUUGUACUCUUUUUCCCUUACGAGGUUUUGUCCCACUGGAUUUUUCUUGUAAGGUUUUUAAUGAGGUAGCCUAUAUAUGUAUUGUUAGAUAUUCAAGGGGGAGUGUUAUGAUAUAUAUUAAUUAUAGUGAAUGUCUAUCAGGAUUUGAUGUAUCUGUCUUUUAGUGUGUAACUAGUAGCAAAUUUUUCCUAUAAAUUGAAGGGUUUUCUUCAUUGUAGAUUAUCCCUUAAGAAAAGAAAUAAGAAUUACUCUCUCUAUUCUAUCUAUACUUCUUCUUUAUUCUUUCUUGCUUUAUAACAAAAAAUUUAAACUCUCCUAUAAUCGAUUAAAUAUUUCUUACUUAAUAUAUUAUUUUAAAAAUCUAUCAUUAUUAGAAUCAAGAUUUUGAAUUGACAUUGACCAUAAAAAAUAGAUUUUUCUUAAAAAUAAUAAUUUCCCUUAAAACAAAAUAAAUUAUUAUUUUCAUUGAAAUCAUAUUGUUAAAAAAUGGACUUUUAUUUAAAAUUUUCUUUAGCUUAAAACUUUAUGAAAUAAAAAAUGAUUUUCAAAAAUCGCUCGAUAUAAGUUUGAUAAAUUAAUAAAUUGUAAAGUUAGUCAUCCUUUUUAAGUUAGUCAAAAAUAAUCUUUUGGUGAACCGUUUUUAAAAGGACGCUCCUAAGUGCCUCAAAAAUUUUCUUAGGGCAUUAAUUGAACCCUUACUCAGUCUCUGUAAUUUCAAGGAUUUAUUUCUAUUUUUGAAUCUUUGAAAUUCCUUUAAGUUUUCUUGAUAGUUUUCAUAAAAAUCAAGUGGAGACUCUGCAAAAAUUAUUUCAAAAUUUUAUUAAAUUUUUUUGAAAUAGUUUGAAAAAGUCAAACCCAUUUUCUUAAAAACGAAACCCGAAAAGGGUUAAAAUAACUGGGGCAGAAUUUUUGAAAGGGUUUCAAAAAUUCUAUGAUUCUACAAGUUUAAGACGGACCAGACAUGCAAUUGGGGAAGAAUUUUUUAGAGGGUCUAAAAAAUUCUAUCAAGGAGCAUUUCAACAAAUUCAAGGCUAGCAAGAUUGAGGCCAUGAAACUGGGACAGAAAUUUUUGAGGAAUCCUCAAAAAUUUCAUCAAGGAUUGCAUCUCAAGAAAGUGAUAUAAAGACAAUAGACUCAAAAAUUGAAUAAAAGAGCUGGCAGAGACACGAAUCAAUCCUUCCCCUUUUUUAAAACUAACAAUUUUUCUUUGAGUUCAGGAAUAGAGUGACGAGUACAAAUCUUGAUUACACUAUACAUCGUCAGAAGAUAUAAGGUUAAGUAUUGUCGUUCUGUAUUUUGAGUAAGUUAAGCACUACCCUCUCGAGAGAAACUGCUUGAGGCUAAGCAUUGCCCUUGAAAAUUUAAUUGGGUUAAGCAUUACCCUCUCUCAACAAAUCAUUCGAACUAAGCAUUGUCUCGAAAACUCGAUGGAGCUAAGCACUACUCUAUCAAAAACUCUCUAAGGCUAAGCAUUGUCCUUAGAAAGUUAAGUGGGUUAAGCACUACCCUCUUUCGAGAAACUGACUAAGGCUAGGAUUGUCCUUGAAAGUUAGUUGGGUUAAGCACUACCCUCUCUCGAGAAAUCAUCCGAACUAAGAAUUGUUUCGGAAACUCGAUGGAGUUAAGCACUACUCUAUCAAAAACUCUCUACGGCUAAGCAUUGUCCUUGGAAAGUUAAGUAGGUUAAGCACUACCUUCUUUCGAGAAAUUGACUAAGACUAAGCAUUGUCCUUGAAAGUUAGUUGGGUUAAGCACUACCCUCUCUCAAGAAAUCAUCCGAACUAAGCAUUGUUUGGGAAACUCGACGGAUUUAAGCACUACUCUAUCAAAAACUCUCUAAGGCUAACCAUUGUCUUUGAAAAGUUAAGUAGUUUAAGCACUACCUUCUUUUGAGAAACUGACUAAGGCUAAGCAUUGUCCUAAAAAGUUAGUUAAGUUAAGCACUACCCUCUCUCGAGAAAUCAUCCGUACUAAGCAUUAUUUUGGAAACUCGAUGGAGUUAAGCACUACUCUAUCAAAAACUCUCUAAGGCUAAGCAUUGUCCUUGGAAAGUUAGGUGGGUUAAGUACUACCCUCUUUCGAGAAAUUGACUGAGGCUAAGCAUUGUCCUUGAAAGUUAGUUGGGUUAAGCACUACCCUCUUUCGAGAAAUCAUCCGAACUAAGCAUAAUUUCGAAAACUUGAUGGAGUUAAGCACUACUCUAUCAAAAACUCUCUAAGGCUAAGCAUUGUUCUUGGAAAGUUAAGUGGGUUAAGCACUACCUUCUUUCGAGAAACAGACUAAGGUUAAGCAGUGUCCUUGGAAAGGGUUAAGCUCUACCCUCUCUCGAGGAAUUAUCCAAGGCUAAGCAUUAUCCUCUUGAAGUCGAUCGAUUUACUCAAAGACGAACAUUGUUUUCUAAUACUGAACAUGCUAAGCACAACUUCCUCAACGUUAUUAAAUGCUACUGCUUUACUGGACAUAGUGUGGAUUAAGCACAACCUUUUCAAAUCUAUAUGAACAAAACAUUGCUCUCUUAUGACUGCCUCUCUUGCCAUUAUUGUUAUGGUUGUUUUCACUACAUUGUUCAAUCUUAUAUACAUACAUAUAUAUCUAUGCUACCCAUUUUAUCCAGUUGAGCUAAAAAUGGCAGGACUAACAGGUACAAAUUACUCCAUCACGAGCAGCCAAACAGAUGAUCCCACAAUUCUAUAGUGCAUCUAGAAGCCAAAAAACUGAUCCCACGAUUCCAUAGUGUAUCGAGAAGUGCGAAAGCUGAUCCCACGAUGAGAAGCCAAAUAGUUGAUCCCACGAUUCCAUAGUGCAUCGAGAAGCCCAAAAAGCUGAUCCUACAAUGAGAAGCCAAACAACUGAUCCCAUAGUGCAUCGAGAAGCCAAAUCAAUGAUCCCACGAUACAACAGAUACUCUUUCUUAUUAUCACACUCAUUUUAUGUUUAUCAAUUGUUUAUUUUUUUACAUGCCUUAACCUUUGUUAUCUAGUAUAUGGUAAAGUACGCAGGUAAUAGAGAAGGAAUAACAAACAGAAAUAAUUUUCCUUUCUAUUUUUGAGAUAUCACCGUAUUUAUCUAUCAAUCGCAUUUACCUAACUCAAAACUCACCUACCUUUUAUUUUCGCACCUCUCCUCCUGUCAUUAUUUCCAAAUCAUGUUCAUCUCACCGACCCAUAAUAUCUUUGUUGAAUGCCAGUCCUUUAUUAUUUACACUUUUUAGGAAUAUUGUUUAUUCCUAAAUCUAGAACUAUAAAUGGCCUGAUUCUCGUAAAAUCAGAGAUAUGUAGGCGACUUGAAAUUCAAGUCUCAGCCACGUUAUUUUUAAGACCACCUCCUAUUGCUUUAACCCCGAUGAAUCGUUAUCGGUCAGACAAAAUUGACUACUACGUCAACUUUCGUUGCUUGACAGUUCUUUUAUCAUUCCCAAACAACGAAAGGGCAGCUGUUGAGACCCAAUUUUGAUCGCCCUAUGCUGUUUUUAGUCUGCUAUUUUAGCAAAAUUAUUUAAUUUUAAAUAUUAAUAUUUUUACACUUUAUUCUUAUAUUAAAUAGAUAUUGACGUGUCACGUUAAUGAUUUAAAAAAUAUACAAAUUAUUUUAUUAUUUUUUAAUAUCAUUUUUAUAAUUUUUAACUCAAAUAUGACAUUUUACCUAAUUUUAUUAAUAUUUAUUAGAUUUUUUUCACAUAAUUAUGCACACUCACAUUUUACAAAUAUAUUGUCUAGUUUUUCAUUAUUAUUACUAUUAUUAUUAUUAUUAUUAUUAUUAUUAUUAAAAUAGUAGCCUAAUUCAAAUUGAUUUUCUUAAUUUAUUUAAAUUCUGGCCAAUUGUGUUCAAUCAAUAUCAAUCUUAGCCAAAUUGAUGACAUUUUUAAUUAAAUUGACCGCUUUUUAAAUAGUUUUAAUAUCAGCCGUUGAUCCAAAAUGAUCCAACGGCUGAUAUCAAUCUUUCACCCCCUUUCCUUUUUUAACUCAAAACCCAAAACCUAAUUCAUUCAACCAAACAACAGCCGCAGCCUCACCUCCUCUUUCUCUCUCCUCUCUCUAACCUCUUUCUACUCUCUCUCUUUCUCAAAAAAAAAAGAGCCGACCAAGCCAUCACCCGCGCCGGCCACCAUGGCUGGUGAGCGUACCAGCCACCAACAGUGAACCCAUCUCUAUUUCUCUCUUCAACCAGCAAUCACCAGCCACUAGCCACCACUUCCCCAUAGCCGACCACCCUUUUCUCCCUCUCUUUCUCUUUGAAAACCACUAGAAAAACCCAUGCUCCGGCGAGCAGCGCCUGCUGGCGUCGGAGCCCUUCACCAUCUUCCUCCGUCUAUCUCUCUCAAGCUUCCUCCGUUUGUCAUCUUUUUGAAGGAACCAGCCGACGACAACGCUUCCCACCAAGCCUUCACCGCCUUCGAUCCGCCGUUGCUGCCGCCGGUGGACAACAAUAGCUACACCAACAACCCCCGCGCCACCAGCUUCCAAACCCCAUCACCGCCGGAGAAGACAGCAAAACCAGCAGUCCUCCACGCGCCAACAGCAAUCAAAGGAUUAGCCGCCGCUGCCGCUCCAUUCCCCUCUCCCCACCAGUCACCCAUUGGAGACUCCCAUCCCUCGCUCGUCGUCUCUUCUCCGACCAACGGCAACGUAACUAUUAAGUAUGGCGGAUUCGAAUAGGUGAAUCCGUCUCAGGUUUGUUUUGCAUGUUUAAGUUUUGCCUACAACCUCUACUACCUUUCUUUUGCUUUGUCGUUGACAGAUUUUUCUUUUCUUUACUAUUAUCCGGGAUUGGUGAGUUAUGUUGCGAUUUUGCUUACAUCUCUUGGGGAUUUGGUGUAUAUUUGAACGUCUAUGCAAUCAUGUCAAUUAUAUGAGCUUCUACUGACCUUAGACUUUAACUGGGAUUUGUUCAACUUCAAAGAACCCUCGGACCUUCUUUUGAUGCUUAUUCAUAUUUUUUUGAAGCCUUAUAACUGUAAAAUGAAAUAUGGUUUGGUUGAGGGAAUCGCUAGCAUAAUUACAACAGUUUUGAUUCUUUUUGGUGGUUUGUGAUUAUUUUGUUACCUUAAUGAUCAUCCUUUGAUUAUGGCAUAACUUGUUUGAUCGGACAGUUUUGGUGACCUUUUUUACACCCUUAAUUGUGGUUUAAUUUAUAUGUUUAAAUUAGAAUCAAAUUGAAUAUUAUGUGAUUAAUGGAUUAUCCGAUUUUCUUCUAUGGUAAAACCUUGACAAUUUAUUUUUCUUUAAUCUGCUCCUUCCCUUUGUUGCUUAUGUUAUAUGUCUCUCUAAUAAAAUAAUUUUAGCAUCUAAUUAUGUUGGAAUUUAAAGUUGAUUGACGAUGAUAUUCUUGAUCAUGUUUCUUUUAAAUUAAUUGUUAUAUAAGGUAAAUGUUAAUUGCUUGGUGUUCUAUUUUAUUUACUCUCCUUUUAAUUAUUAACACAUAUUUUUUUACUUGCUCAUUUAUGGUAAAUGUGUUGUUAAUUGAUUUACUCUACCUAAUUAAGGAGAGAAAAUUAUUGAUUGAUUCUUUCAAGUAUUUAUUUUUUCUUUUAUUUCUCUGGCGAAUUUUUACAUGAUUGAUUGAUUUGUUUAUUUAGAGAAACAAUCUCCUUAAUUGACAGAGAGAAAAUAUUUCCUUCCCUUUAUCCUCUAGCCCCCUUUAAUACUAUAUAAACAACCCUCUUUCUCUUAUUUUAAGGACAUAACUGACAACUUACAAACAUACACUCCCGGAUACGAAAAACUUUAAGCAAACAAAAGUUUUACUUUAUUUCUUGUCUUAGCUGUACUUAUUUUUCUGAGCAUUGGUCUUGAUCGAUCUUUAUUCUUCCGUGGGAAUUUGCUUGAACUUUGCUCUACCUGAUUUUCUUAUUAUUACUUAUUAUCGUCAAUCGGUAAGUCCUUAUUGCCGCACUUUCAUUUACACUUAAGUGAUGAUAGAAAGUAUGUCCAUAGGAAUUGUUCUGUAUUUUGUUUGCUAUGUCAUUGCUUGGUUAUUUUUAUCCAUGGAAUAAUGCCACAAUACUCUCGUUUGUCUCUUUGUAUUUGCCAUGCUGUUUUUAUUGUGUUUAACAGGUUGGGAUUUGAAGAGUCACCCGAGGUGUUUGGGAUGGACUAUAUUACUCCCUUCUAGUUUAGUUGUUUCUUUCUCUUUAUAUUGGCCUGUAAUAUUGUAUAAACGCUAUUUUAUUGUAAUAAUAAUAAUUGGGGACUGCAUGGUGCAGGGAUUUACGUGCUCGUUAGUGGACUCUUGCACUUUAAAAACGAAUGUCACUAAUAGUUUUCAACAUGUAAACUUUUAAUUUCCAACAUUGUCAUUGGUCGGUCCCAUGUCUUGCACAAAUAACAUCAAUAAAUAUAACUAUGCAUUUACUCUACUUUGACGUGUCUUUUAUUCAUAACAAAUUUACAUUAUUUUAAAAUGAUUUACGCCGACGAGUGAUCAUGUAACAUCUAGAUGCAUUUACUCUACUUUGACGUGUCUUUUAUUCAUAACAAAUUUACAUUAUUUUAAAAUGAUCUACGCCGACGAGUGAUCAUGUAACAUCUAGAUACCAUGCGUAUAGGCUUAACUAUCAUUUACAUAAUAAAUUAGUGUUUUAUCCUUUCACGUUUGCUUAACUUUGACAUGCCUUUUAUUCUCAACGAGUUUUUACAACAUUGUUUAAAUAUUUUGACAAUUACUUUUCAAUGAAUAAUUGUGUGACAUUUAGAUAUCAUGUCUAUAGGUUAAUGACACAAAAUAAGUUAUUAUUUGUUGUUGUAUGUCAAUCACAUUAAUCAACUUCUUUAAUAAUCAAGGGGCUAACUUGGGACAACUAUGUACUACGUGACAUCCUAUUUGUAUCGCGCUUUGAGUCUUAGGAAAACAUAGCUUUUGUUUGUCUAGACCAAAAAUUCAAAUUAGUAAAGCUCAAUGCCUCUUGGGCGAUAAGUGGGAUGAUAGGUACUUUAAAGAUGCUAGUUUUAUCCUUUCUUUAGAACGUUCUAGGAUUGACAAUCAGCCUAGGUGGGGUGGGGUGGGUAGUCAUUCGGAAGUGAUGAUCUCCAGAGACAUUACACGAUAUUUGACAUUGUUACUUGUUUAAGAAUUCGGACAGUGGGUUGGAUAAGGAUUAAAUAAGUUGGGGUUCUGAGACCAAAAAUAUUUCUUUGUUUGAUUUGACGAAUUUUUUUUUUCUUUACAUUUACUUUACGUGCUCGUUUGCUUGGGGUAGUUUAGAUCUUUAAAAUUAAUAAAUAUUUUGUUAUAAAUUGCUUUUCCUUAUUUCUCCUCGCUUCUCUACUUUACUUUAUUUGUUAUCUUUUUUAUCACCACCUAGUCAAUGAUUAGAAAUAAUAAGAUAACAUAUUUGUUUAUUCGUUGCUUUAUCACUUAGCUAACAUUAAGUUAAUAAUAAUUAAGUGACCUUUAUUUGAUCACGUAGAAUCCCCACGUAAAAUACGAAUUCAGCUGGGAACCACCUUUUUGGACCUCGAAAGGUGCCUAACACCUUCCUUUUGAAGUAAUUUGAACCUUUACCCGAAUUUCUGGUGAACUGGGACUAAAUAACAAAAUAGGUUAGUAGUUAGCCUAGAUUGGUGCCCUAAUGCACCUUAAUACGUUAGGUGGAGACUCUUCACAUUCUAUCUCAAAACAAUCCCCAAAAGAGUGAUCACGUCGAAUCCCGCUUUUCGUGAGGAAAAUGGAGCGCGACAGAUGUAUCUGAAAAUAAACGUUUUUAGUGAUUCAGAAGAAAUUUUUGUAAUUAGUUUAGUGGGGUGAAAUUUUAAGUAAUAUUGGAAACUUAAGGUGUUGUUUUAGGUAAUUUUUGUUUUUGAAAUAUUUAAUGUUUUUUAAUUUUUGCUCCAACUUUUUGUUGGGCUAAAAAAAUUGAUUUUCUUUUAAAGAUUCAAUACAAUUGUAUAGAAACUGUACAAUUAUUGUAUAGAAAUAUGUAUAUGCAUAAUAUAUAAGUUUAAAAUUAUAUAGGUUGUGUGUAGAAAUUGUAUAACUAUUGUAUAGAAUAUGUAUCUGAAUAAUUAUUGUAACUAAGGUUGUAUAUGAUGUGUAUAAAUACUGUAUAAUUAUUGUAUAGAAUAUAUAUUUUUUGUAUAUAAUGUGUAUAGAGACAACAAUGGAAUAUUUAUCAGUAUAUGAUAUGCAUAUAAAUUGUAUUAUUAUUGUAUAGAACUGUAUCUAUGACGAUUGUAUAUGUAUAAAAUAAGAAAUGUAUCAUUAUUGUAUAAAAUGUAUGUGCUUCUUAUAUAUUUCAACUGAACUUGCACAUACCAUUUGGAUGUUUUUAAAUAUACAAAAUGUGUGAUAAUAAUAUACAUUCUAUAAAUGUACAUUUUUUUAAUAUAUAGAUUACACAUUUAUUAUACACAAAUUAUAUAAAAAUUAGAAGUGAAAAUUUAGGAGGGAAAAAAUACAAAAUCAAAUUUGAUUAUUAAGAAAAAUAAAAGUGCAGAUUUAUAGUACUAUAAAGUAGAGCAGCAAAAAAUAUGAAAAAUAAUAGCCAAAAAAAAAGGAGGAGGAAGAAGUAGCGAGAAAAAGUCCCAAAGGGGUAUAUAAUGAAAAGGAAAAAAAUUAUAUAAACUAGCAACUUUAAGAUAAUAAUUACAAUUAAUAACAAUAGUUUCUCAAAAUUACAAUUAUUAGCAAAAGUAGCAAUAUUUAACUUUUUUAAUUAAUGGCGCGUGAGUUGCACUCUAUUAUUUUUCACUUUACCCUUUUCACGGCUCUUUAACUUUUUUUUACCUAUUUUCACGCCACAACAGAGAUUUCAAUUCCCUCCAAUAUCUUCUUUGGCUAUUUUUUUUUUUUCAAAAUUCGCGAUUUUCUCCUUAAAUCUUGAUAAACCUUGUUCCCAUCUAUUAAGGUAAGUGAUUUACUGUUAAUGCAUGUUUUAAUUUUCUUUUAACUUCUUCUUUUUCUUGUUCAUUAUAUUUUUUCAUAUAUUUCUGUGUGUUUAAUUUGGAGAUUUUUUUGGGGUUUAAUUUGCAUGUUUUGAUUUUUUUUUGGUUUAUUGAUAUAAUGGCAAAACAUGCAAAUUGUUCUAUGAGUUUUGAUGAAAUACCAUCUUUUAGCCUAGGUUUAACCCAAGAUGAAAACAAUAACUUGAUUUCUUGUAAUACCCAGGCAAAGGGAAGUUUUAACUUAAAAGAGUUGAGAUCGAAGAAGCGAAACGAUCCUCAAAAGUCCGUUGAAACAAUGAAACGGAAAGCAGUGACGGAUUCUUUGACCCCUAAAUCGAAAAAAAAUCAAAAAAUAGUGAAAAAUAAAAAGCCAGAUGGAAAAUCUCAUUUGACAAAAAAUUCAAGUCCGAUUUUAUCUGAUUAUGAAUCUUCAUCUGAGGAAGAGCAAGAUGAGGAGGUAUUGUUUUAUUUGCAAAAUUUUUUAGUUUAUGUACAAUAUGUUAGUAUAUGUAUUUAAUAUGUAUAAUUGAUAAGUUUUGUACUUAUUUUAGCUUUGUCUAACGUUUUGUUACUUAAAGUUUUAGAGUUGUAUUUAUUCUGUAUUAGAUAUUUAAGAUAUGUAUAUUUGUAUUUAAGUCUUGUGUAACAUAUUAUAUUUGAUAAUGUUAAGAUAUGUAUUUGUAUACAUUUUCAUUAGAUAAUAUGUAUUUUUGUAUUUAAGUUUUGUGUAACAAGUUGUAUUUGAUAAUUUGUAAGAUUUGUAUUUGUAUAUGAUUUAUAUAAAUACAUAUGUGGCCUUUUUAGACAUAUAAUUGUAGUUUUGUGUUUUAUAGGUUUUGCGCGAUAAAAUAUACAUGGCAAGAGUAUUGCCUAAAUUUGCACCACAUAUUGGUUGUCAUUCGGUCAAUGACAUUGAAGACCGUAUUAAGGCAAUGCUAACGAAGAACCAGUUUAAGAAGUUUUGUACUGAUAGUAUUUUUGGCAUUUUCAUGAAGAAAAAGAAAUGUGUUGUGCAAGUGUAAUUAGGGAGAUGCGUUAUGUCACUGGAAACUACGGAAAGUUCUACAAGUGAUAUAGUCAUUCGUACAAAGGGCACAACACUGCAUUUUAGUCUUAGAGAAUUUGCUGUAGUAACUGGUUUGAAUUGUUAUUCAAACAGGGAUGAUUUUAGGUUUGAUGAAGACCUUCCAAACAAAAUGAUUGAUCAGUAUUUUGGGGGUUCCAUGUUUAUUCAGAAAAAAGAAUUAUUUGCCGCUGUUUCUGGUAAAAUUUGGGGGGAGGAGAAUGAUGAAGAUGCGUUCAAGUUUGCUAAUUUAUAUUUUAUUCAUGGAUUUUUGAUGUCGUCUGUUGAUACUGUCAAUAUUCCUCGCCUUCAUUUUGAUCUGGUGGAGAGUGAUCGUUACAGGGACUAUCCUUGGGGACUUCUUGCAUAUGAAGAAUUAGCUAAGAGUUUGAAUAAAAGGUUGAAACCCAAAGGGAAGUUUUACAUGCUUUAUGGAAUGCCACUUACCAUCCAGAUUUGGUUGUAUGAGUGUUGCUCUGCUGUCCCUCGUACUAUCGCUUCCAAGGUGGAUUCUCAAAUUCCACAUCUUUUAAAUUGAAAGACAAAUGUUAUUUGCCCACGAUAUGAGUCAUUGAUGAAAAGUUUGUUUAAUGAUGCAAAUGAUAAGGUUAGUUUCCUGAAAAACUACUAUUUUCUGUGAUGUUUUAAUUAUAUUGUAAAUACAUUUAUUGUAUUCAUAUAUGUUAAUGUACAAAAAACAGUAGGUGAAUGAUUUGCAUUAUUGUCAAGGUUAACUGGUUAUAAUAUCUGUUGUAGGUUGUUUUUAAGAACAUUGAGCCGACUCGAAAGGAGAUUUCAACCUUUCAGAUACCAAAGAUUUUUCAUGGAGGUGGAAGUCAUAAAGAAGAUUAUGUUGAUUCUGAUGAUGAUUUUCAGAAUCCACCACUUCAACGGAAGCUUUCAAUCAGCAAAAAAAAUAUCAGGGCGAUUCGUCGUAUUCACCUGCCAAGAAAAAGUUGAAGAAUCAAUCAAAAGGUGCAGAUCAGCAUACACCAAAAAGGAAUACUCCAAGUCAUGCUGUGAAUAUAUCUUCUGUGAAGACACCAACUUUCAAGUUGGUUCAAUCAGAAGAAACAGUACCUUCAAACAGGAAAGACAUUCCGGUUCAGUCGUCUGAUGUGUCUUUUUUCAAACAUUCAGACGAAGAUGAUCUUGUUUCUAAGAAAGUGUUUGAAAAGUUUCGUGAUGAGGUAAUUUACGCAUAAGACUUUGACUUUAGUAUAUUUGUUUCUUUCAUAUCUAAUUGUAAUUCUUUGAAAUCGGGUUCGAAAGGAGUUUAAUGACAUUCGAAAUUUAGUAUCAACAAGGUGUGAUCAAAUAAUGAAUUCAAUAAAUGAGUUUAAGGUACAAAAUUUUUAGUUUUAAAAGAAUAAUGAUUUUAUACAUAUACAACAUAUGUAGUUAUGUGUGAAUAAAUACAUACUUAAUAUGUAUUUAGGUUUGAUUAAAUAAAUAUUUAAUAUGUAUUUAGGUAUGAUUAAAUACAUAUUUAGUAUGUAUUUAUGUUUGGAUAAAUAUAUAUUUAGUAUGUAUUUAUGUUUGAAUAAAUAUAUAUAUAUUUAUAUAUAUUUUUCAGAUCUAUAUCUAUAUUAUCACAUAUACAUAUGCAGAGUCAUUUCCUACUUGUUGGUUUUUACUUUUUAAUGUUACGUAUUUAUAUCUUUUCAACGACAAGAAACAAGAAAAAAAUAAAUAUUUUGACAAGGAUCAAAUGGAGGAUGGUCAUAAGAAUACAUCACCACAUCAUUCAACUCCAACGAAUGUGGAAGGUUUUCAUAAGAAUCCUGAAGGCAUAUGGUAAGUAAAUUUGUGUUUAUUUUUAUGUGUUGAAUAUAUUUGAUAUGUUAAAUAAAUAUAAAACAUAUUUAUUAUGUUGUUGAAUAAAUAUAUAUGUACUCAUAUAUAUAAAUGCAGUACCAAACUAAUCAAAUGAUAUAUUAAUUUUGAUCGUCAUACGUAUCUAAUAUUUUUUGAAUUGAAUAAACAGGUUAAAGAUUAUGAAUUUGUCAAGCUACAAUUGGAUGAAUCUGAUAACGAUUCUUCACUUCAUGAAUCCACACCAAUUUUACAUCAUGAUUUUGAUAUGAAUCCUGAAGUCACGUUAGUAAGUAAAAUGUUUUCAUUCAUAUUUAUAUUAUUUUGUAAUACUAUUGAAAUUUUGAGUUACAUAUAUGAAGUAUACAUGUGAUCAUUGUUUAUGUAUAGGAGCAGGCUAUUGAAGACAUCACAGAAAAAUAAAGCACCGAUUUUACUGAGUUGUACAAUGACGAUAAUGAUGUUGUUUUGGUAAUUUGUUGAUUACUACUUUUCUUAUGUAUAUUAAUAUACUUGAAUAUUAAUAUUUUUCAAUGUUUUAUUGUUUAUUUUAUUAAAGGACAAAAUUGGUAGUUGUGUGCAUGAAGCAAGAGAUGUCUGUGAUUCAAUGGUAUGAUGAAUCUAUAUAUGUUGUAUUUUAAUUCAUGACAAAUAUUGAUAUUUUUUAAUAUGUUACAACAUGUUGAACAGAACAAAAAAAAUAUUGAUGAAAGUGUUGGUGAAGUACAAUUUUCAGAUUCACAAUUCACAUUUUCAGAUGAGGUGCUUAGAAGUAUCAAUCUUGAUUUCAUACAACAAAAUUUGAGAGUAUGCUUCAUUCGUGCAUAAUUUGUGUUUACUUUCUUGUUGUUGUAUAAAAUUUAUAAGAUUUGUGUAUAUUUUAAACAGAACGCAGAAGCAGCUGCAGGAAUAAUUGAAAAUACAUCAACAACUGAUGUUCAGCAAUUAAAAUUGGAUGAAAAAGUUAAUUCAGAAGUGCACAUUCAUGAAGCAGCAUCUGAAGAAGGAAAGGGUGAACUAGAUUUACGUGAUUCCCAAGCAACACUUCCUGAUGAGUUGCUACCCAGCCUUAACGCCUAUGUUAAUCUGGAAAGAAGCAUAAUUGUACAUCCAUCUGCAAAUAAAGAACAAAUGCCUAUGAAUGUUUCAAGAGUCGGGAGACAAUCUAAAUUCAAGGAGUCACCAUUCACUACAAAAUUUGGCUCAGCAGAAGGUUUGUACUAUAACCUUUUAUUUGGUUGCAUUUAUCAAUAUUCUUUAUUUUUAUACAUUAAUUUCUUUUUCUUUUCAUUGAAAUUAUGAAGGGAGCACAGAAGUGCAGACCAAAAAAUUCAACUUGAAGCAUCCAUUUGCAUCUCAUCCAAUCCAUGAUAUUGAAGAUACUAAGGUCACCAAUAAGUUCUUGGCGUGGCUUUCAGUGGACCUUCUCAAAUAUCAUGCGAAGAAGUACUUACUUUACAACUUAAUUAUAUAAUUUAUUUACAUGUUGUGUUUAUUAUUAAGUAUUAUGCUUUAUAAAUUAACAGGAGCAACAGAGAGGAACAUUAUAAGAAAAACAAGUCGAGGAUGUCAGUUAUGAAUUUUGACAUUCUAUCAGUUGAUGACAAGAAUUGGUUCUAUAUUAUCGGUACUCCUGAAAAGUCAUGGUCAGAUGAGGUGAGUUACAUCUUUAUAUUAUAAUUACGUAUGACGAUCUAUCUAUUAUAUGUAUUUUAUUGUAUACAUAUGCAGUAUCAUAUGUUUAGACACAUGCAUUUAAGGACAUAAAUAAUUAGUGGAAGAUAUCCAAAGUUUGAUUUUGGUUAGUUGUUUUUACAAAGCUUUCAUUUUUUGAUACAGCAAAUUGAUGUUUGCCUUUACUAUUUGAGAAAGAAAUCCAAGUAUGAACCCAAUAGCUCAUAUAGCUAUAGCACAGUUGACUGCAAUUUUAUGAACAUUGUAAGUAAUGUGUUAGCUGUGUAUUCAAUUGAUGAUCCAACGCUUGAUGCUGGUGGAAAAGAAUACCAUUUGAAUGAGUACAUAAGUGGAUUUCGCAUGCAUGCUAAUGUGCCAUGACAUAUGGUUGAUCAUAUAUUUAUUCCUAUCAACGUAAAGUUCAAACAUCAUUGGGUUCUGGCUGUUCUGUCUUUUAAUCAGAGAAGCAUAUACGUAUAUGAUUCUAUGUCAUCUGCUGGUCAUGAUUCAGCUGUGCUUGCUGAAGUUCAAAAAUUAGCUGAGGUUAUACCUUUAUGCCUUUUGGCAUGCAAAUUCUAUGAGAAGAAGGGUAUUGGUAUUGACAGUCAUCCAAAUUAUAAGUUAAAUGAAAAAAAUGAUCUAUUUGAUAUCUACAUGUGGAAGAUUUGCCUCAAUAACCAAGUGGCAGCUUGUAAGUUUUAUAUUCAUAUUAAUGGUUAUAUAUAUUAUAUAUAUUUCAUGUUAUAUAUAUAUAUAUACUUAUGAAUUAUACUAUAUGCAGGGAUUGUGGUUUAUAUAUGAUUACUUAUGCCGAGUGCAUUACAAUUGGUGGAGGUGUUCCGAAAGUCGACUUUGAUCCAGAUCUUCCUCGCACGAGGUACGCUGCAAUGUUGUGGCAUUAUGGUAAAAGGAAAGAAGAAGAGAAAGCACAGAGUGAUGAUGAAGCACCAAGUAGGCCUCGUAGGAAAAUUCAGAUAACAGAAAUUACUGAAGUAACUGAUAUAUUCCUUUUAUUUUGACAUGAUUGUAUUUGACAACAAUUAACAUUUUGUUGACUGCGCUUUUUUUAAUAUAUUUUAAGUUUCAUAUGUUAUUUUUAUGAUCAAUUUCAAUAUUUUAUUAUGAUGUUUAAUUGAUGUGAUAUUUACUUUUUGUGAUGUUUACAGUACAAUAUUUAAUUUAGGUUUUUAUUAUGCGUAUCUUGAUACGAAUACAAAAUAUAUGUAUUUUAAAUUUUAAUUUUUUAAAUAUGUAUUGUGAGGAAUGCGCAUCCAUUUUUUAGUAUACCAUGUAUUGAUCAUAUAUAUAUAUAAAAAUUUAUAAAUGCUUUCACAACUAAUGUAUAUGCCUAUAUAAUAAAGCAUGUGUAUUUAACAAUAAUUUAAAUAUAUUUAUAUAUUUACGUUCAAACUAUAUAAGUUCAUCUUAUACAACACAUGUAUUUUUAACAUAAAAAAUAUAUUUAUGUAUUUAUGUAUUCACAUUAUAAAAUACAUAAAUACAUAUGUGUACAAAUAUAAUAAAUUUUUGUAUUUUAUUAAUUUUAAGCAUAUAAACAUAUAUAUACAUAUAUGUUUGCUCAAUUUAUAUAUGUAUUUAUGCAUUAGUUAUUAAAAUGUAUUUUUACAUAUAUACACAAAUGUAUAUAUGUAUUUAAGAAUAUAUCAAUAUGUAUAUAUGUAUUUAUGCAUAACAUAUUUAUAUAUAUAACUAAAUCAUAUGUUUUAUCAUUCUAUAUGGUCUCUUAAAAUAUGUUUAUAAUACAUAUUUUUAGAUGGUCAUAGCUACUUCAAUGAUUCUUCAAAGUAGUUAACGGAAUUAACAUUUUGUUAUGUGUAGAUUUAAAUAAGUAUAAAUCAAUAAUGUUAUAUGUAAUAAUUUCUCAAUUUAUUCUUAUUGAAUUCAAUUAAAGAAAUACAUAAAGUUUCCUACAUAUUACGCAUAACAACAAAAAAUAGCAUCAAAAUUAUUUUUCCAACAUCUAAGAUCCUAUAUAUAUUAUUUAAUGUAGAAAAAUAUGCAAUUUUUUGUUAACUAAACACAUCAACCAACUUAUCAUUUGUUGUAUUUCCUAUACGAACGCCUAUUGUGACCUUUACUUCCACAUGAACUACAAUAAUUUUUAUUUUUCUUUUCAAACAAAUCUCGUCCGGGCUUUUCACGAUCCUUCUUUCGAGGUCUUUUAGGGGGUCACUUGUAUUUUGGGGGCAGAACUACCUCAUCCAAAAUUUCCUUUGGAAUUAACCAAUCAUCUUUGUGUGGAAGAGGAUAAACCGGAAGAUCAUACGUUCUCAACACUGUUUUUAGCUUGUAUAGAUCAGAGCAAUAUGGUCCCUUUUUAAAAUUCUUGCUAUCAAGAAUUGCACAAGCAUGAACACAUGGUAUCUCAUCCAACUGAAAUGCAUUGCAAGAACAUUUUUUUUCUUAAGACAAACAAUAAAAUGUUUGUCCUUUUUAUGGACUGUAUAUAUAUACUCCGAUGCAGGUAUAACCUGAAAUUAGUAAAAGCAAAUUAGUUAGUAAAAAGAAAUUAAUUUACAUAGUUAUAUGACAAACAGUUUUGCAAAUAUAUUAGAAAUAUAUAUACAACAUAAACUCAAAAAUUUAUUAUGUGUUUAUGCAUAUAUAACCAAAUACCCAAUGAAAAAACUAUUAUUUAUAUAUACAACAUAAUAAAUAAAUUUUAUCAUGCCUUCAUACGUAUACAAUCCGCUUCAUUCUGUUGUAGAAUUUUGUGAAACUUAACAAUAAGAUCUGUAAAAGUAUACAAUGCCUGCUGUCUGUUUUUGCAGUUCCAUCUAUUAAACAUCAAUCUAACUUCCUUUAAAAAAUCAUAUAUUGGUAGUUCUCUUGCUGACACCAGUGAAGAAUUAAUUGAUUCGGCAAUGUUUGAUGUCAAAGUCCAUCCCCUAUGAACGGAUGCAUAUGACCUAGCUCAUUUAUCGUAUCCCGUCAAUUCCAAGUAAUUCUUCACUCUAACAUCAACUACCUCCACCUUCUCCAUUAAUUUGUGAAAUUCGGUCUUUGAAUAUGAUUUUGUCAUAGAAUAGAAGACGUCUGACAAUGCAUUAUGUGAUUUUCUAAAGUUUGUUUUCACAUUUCUCCAUAAAUGCCACAUAUAAGCAUAAUGUGGUACAUCAUUAUACACCUCAGUUACAUCUUUAAUGAUGCUUACAUUAUGAUCAGAAACUACACACAUAUUUCUUCUUUCACCAUAUGCUUCCUUUAGAUUUUCAAAGAACCAAGUCCAAGAAGCAUCAUUUUCAGAAUCAAGAACACCAUAGGCCAAUGGAAAUAUAUGUCCUGCAUGUUCAAAAAAACAUACAAGCAUACAUGAUUUUUAACAUAUCAACUUAUUACUACAUACAGCUGCAAAGCUACUAAACUUUUAGAGGAUAUAUAAAACUACUGCAUACGUAUAUUUUAAAUCCAAAUACAUAUUUGAUGUCAAAUACAAUUAUAAUUAAAUAUCUUACCAGCUUGAUCCAUGGUACAUGCAGCUACGAAAAUUCCAUUAUAUAGUCCUCUUAGAUGACUUGCAUCAAUAACAAUGACAGGUCUCCAAUGCUCGAACCCUUGAAUGAAUGUAGUUAGUGCAAUAAAUAUAUGCAAAAACUCAUUGUCUCCAUUUUUUUUCAUUUUAAUAUGUGAAUCGGGAUAACAUGUGUUUAACACAUGCAUGUAUGCAGGUAGUUUCUCGUAUGAUGCUGCUGGUUUCCCUCUUAAAUCUUCAAGUGCUUGCUCCUUCGCUCGAGAACACAUAAUAUAUGUUAAAUCCAUACCCAUGUCUUCCUUCAUAUCACUUUUGAUUUUAGAUGGACUGUAUUUUCGUUUGUGGCAUUUCAACUUUGGUUUGACUAUAGCACUAAUCAACUUACUAGUAGCAUGCAAUUUAGGAUAAAUUUUAUCUUUUAUCGGACAAGUAUGUUCUGAUAAAAAUUCUCUGACAUAAAACAUUCCAGAUUCACCGAUACCAGAUGCAUAAAAUAAAAAAACACAAUUACCAGAUCUGCACAACAAUGUAUAACUGCAAACCAAAAUAAAUGCAUAUGCUAAAAUACAAUUAACCAUCUGAAAAAAAAUUAACUAAAUGCAUAAUACACUUACCUGAUUUUACUCGAUCUUACAGAUAGUGUUCGAAACUUCUCUCGAAUUGAAUAGCCCUUCAUGACUGAUUGUAAUACUCUUUUUGAGACAUAAAAUUGACCAACCUCAAUAUGUUUGUGAUGUGGGUCGGAGAUAAUAACUCUACUUGUAUCCAUUUCAAAUACAUCCAAACACUCUUCUGAUGGAGUAACCAUUAAUGCUCUUUCACUACUUGUAUUUCCAACAUUAGUCGCACUGAUAGUCAUCUUUAGACUUCCCGAAUUACACAAUGAUGAACUUACCAUUGUGUUGAAAUUAUCCCUCUCAGAAACACUUACACACAAAGGCAAAAUACUCAAUUCCUUCAACUCUUUUUUCUGCAUAAUAUAGACCUUUAAACCCAUGUCAUUACGAAUACGUACUUUCACUGCACUAUCUGUUAAUUGAUACUCGAUUUCAAUGUAUUUGGACAUCAAAUCAACAUCAACAUGAGCAGCAAGUACUGUGUACAGUUGGUCAUACGUAGAGUUCAAGCUCAACAAUAUCGCAUCACUGAUGUACUCUUCAUAUUGUUGCUCAUAAUUCCAUUUUCCUGAAUGUUUAACAAGAACUGCAAUGCUUCCCAUCUUCAAUCUAUACAAAACCACAUAAUAUUAAAAAUCAAUUUAACUAUGUAAUUCGUAGUAUACACAACAACAAAUUCGCUAAUACAAAACUCUAAAGAGAAUUCAACCAAAAUCAAUUUUUGAAACCUGCUAAUUGAAAAAUAAAUUUAGAUUAACGUUUUAAAAUUACUUUUCAACUUUCAUAUUUUAGAACAACAACGCCAUAUUUGAAAUUGUUAAAAAUAUGCAUUAACAAUUUCUUACGAAAUCUUAUAAAAUUGACAUAAUAUAUCAAUAUAUUAGAAUCACGCGAAAUUUACACAUAUUUGGUACAAUUUCUUCAGCAAAUUUAUAAAUAUAAUUAUAAUGAAACCACAAAUAGUAUAAAGUUUAUUGAUCAAUACCUGAAAUUGCACAAUCGAUUUUUAAAUGUGCUUCACAAUGCUAGUCGAUCUGAAAUUUUGAUUUUGAUUAUUUUUUUUCUGAUAAUGAAAAAUUUGUUUGAAUUUAAAUUAAUUGGUGUAAAUUAGCGUUGAUUUAAAAAAAGAGUUCUAAAAGGUAAGGGCAUUUGUCAAUUAAUUAUACCAUAAAUUAUGAAACCAUUUUUUACCAUUUAAAUCAGAAACUGAUUUGCUUUAUUUUAGGAACAUAAUAUUCUUUUGUAUAUGUAUUUAAGUAGCAACAGUUUACUCAAAUACAAAAUACAUAUUGUUAUUUUUUAUAAUUUUGAAACUGUUGCUAGAAAAAUUGUAAUUAAGGCUAUAUAGUUGCUAUUUAUGAAAUUUUCCCUAAUGAAAAUGCUAAACUAGUGGUCACUAGGUUGACAAUUCUUUUGGCCGAGUGGCCAUUUGCGUCCGUUCCCCGUUUUAUAUUGCAAGAGGAAAAAAAAUUUCAUUUCUUCUUAUCACAAAUUUAAGUACUAAUUUUAUUUAGGCUUAAUACAUAAUUAGUCUCUUAAAAUUAUCGGGAUAUUCUGCUAACACUUAAACUAAUUAAGUUUUGUUUCAAUUAACUACUGAUAAAGUGUUCUGACUAGAUACUUUUGGUUCAAAAUUUGAAAAUUAUUGUGAGUGUGUUCCCAUUCAUCGAUUAGGUAGUUAAGUGCUUUUUUGGAUUGUGGUUUUCCAUGGUAUGGUAUGGUAUGGUUAUCAAGAGAAUCAUAUUUGUUUUAAUUGUUUUCUAAAAGGCAUGAUAUGGUAUUGUAUCUUUUUAUGGUUUGAUAACCAUGAAAUCCCUCAAUUUACAGAACCACAGAUUUGGUGGUAUCCCAUGAUUUUAUUAUUUUUUUUUCAGUUACGCCCCUAUAUAAUAGUUUUAAUCUUAUUUUACCCUUUACCUUAUAUUACUUCCAACCCUAUUUUAUUUUUAUUUUUACGUUUUUCUGCUUAUUCUCUCAUCUGCGUUGUUGCGUUGUUCUCCUCUGGGUUCUUCUUCGUUCUUUCUACACUCAAUAUAGAUAAGGUCCAUCAAUCCUCUAUAAAAUGUAUUUGAGAAAGGAAGUAUCUCCAAUUCAGUGAUGGAAACAAUAAGUCACCAUACCAACAAAAUGGGAUCUCAAUGUAGGAGCUUAAGUAUCAGUACCUGCCGAUUUAGUUUAAAAUCUGCCAUUGCAUGAACAUAUUGCAACAUGUUCUCUUGUGUUAUAGAAAUAUCCUUGCCGCCAGAUUUAAGCUCAAUCACAAUAUGUUUUCCCAAAGAUUCUUCAGUGGCUGUAAAAUCCAUGCAAGGUCCUUGACAUCACCAUCAUAGUGCUGCAUAGACCAAAACAAAGUAUUAAGUCUCAUGCAUAGUUUCAUUAAAUUUAGAUAUGGAUAAAUAGAGGUGUGGGGUUGUUGAUCAGUUGAUUAUGUUCAAUUGAAACUUUAUUUUUGUCCCCAUUAGAUAACUUUUGUUUGUUUUUUAGAAGGGUAACAUUACUGUCCUUGUUAGAUAAUAAUUAGUAGUACACUUACAAAUAGGUGUAGUCAUAUUUCAUAUUAAUCAAAUCACUAAUACAAUUUUAUCCUUUUAAAAAUACCAGAGCCAUAACAAUCUUAGAAGAGACUUCUUUGAUUGGUAAACGAUCUUAUUAUAAAGGGAGAAUACUCACAAAAAUACCUGAAGUUUGACUGGAUUACCAGUUGAACAUACUGAACUUUGCGGGGGUCCUAUUACCCCCAGACUUUUUUUUUCGUAUUUUAAUGACAUAUAUCUGCCACUUGACCCAUUAUGUGUUAGUCACGCGCAUUAAGCGCGUGAAAAAUGUUAAAAACGUUAUAAACUCUUUUUUUUGCCAAACAGCCCCUUAAUUUUUUAAUUUUUAAAAGUUUUAUAUUUUUUAUUUAUUUUUUCAUUCUUUUUCUCUCUUCUCUCUUCUCUCUUCUUGCUUUCUUGCUUUCUUCUCUUCAACAAUGGUUGCUCCAUUGUUGAAUUAAAAUUGAACAAUGUAUUACACUUUAAUUUCAACUUUAUUCCAGAAGUGGCUUCAAUAAAAUUUCUUCCGAAAGUCUUCAAUUGUUCAAUGUCUUUCGAAAGUCUACAACAUAUUUCCAUUGUUGAAGUCAAUUAUUGAAGACUCCAUUUCUUCAAAUUUUAUUUAUUUUGUUCGAUUUGAAUAAAAUUAUUGAAGAAAGUUUUCAAUUUGAAUUUGAAAUUUGGGAAAAAAAAUUCUUAAAAUUAUUGAAGAAACUUUCUCGAAUAAAAUUAUUGAAGAAACUUUCUCAAAUCUCUCUUUCAAUUUUUCACUCUACUCUCACGAUCUCUCAAUUUCUCCGAUCUCCGAUCACCCUCACUUUCUCCAUUUUUUUUCGAUCCGUGUGUGUGUGCUAGUGAGUAUAUCAGUGAGUGUGUGAGAAUUGAGAGUAUGUGUUUAUGGUUCUGAAGAGUAUGUGUGUGCUGGUGAGUAUACCAGUGAAUGUGUGAGAAUUGAGAGUAUGUGUUUUGGGGAAAAAUUUUCUUAAAAAUGAUGAAAAGUGAUAAUAAUGGACUUAGAAUUUGAAAUUGACUCAGCAGAAUCAUUUGGAAUUUGAUUUGUAGAAGGAAUUUGAGUUGUGGAAUCUUUAAUAUGAUUGUAAUGGUGAAAAAAUAUUGAAAAGUGAUAAAAUGGAGAAGAAACGACGCGUGUACUACACUUCCUACCGUAAAAACUAGUUAUAACAUUUUGGGUGGGAAUUAAUUCCACUUUAAAAAGGUCCGAGGGAAAUUAGUUCCACUUAAAAAAAUAUAGGUGUGUAAUAAGACCCCCAUAAAAUUCAAUAUGGUCAACUAAUAAUCCGAUCAAACUUCAGAUAUUUUUGUGAGUAUUUUUCCUAUAAUAAACCUAAGUAACUUCAGCUAUUGACUGUAUCCCUUUUAUUUUCCGCAAUAGUUCCAGCAGCACCAUACAUCUUAAUUUCCAAUGCCUUCUUCGACGAGUGCUCUGGAAACACCACUCCUCUUUUCAAUUACGAAUCCCGUAAGUAAGAUAUGUAUCAUGCCAAGAGCAUUUCAGUUGGGCUUAUGGGUCAUUCUCUUAAGUUCAGCAACUAGUUACUUGAAACAAGAUACUUUGCAAUUUACAUGAUUAUUUCAUGAAUUUGAAGUUUUAAUUUUGUUAGAAUUUUUAUGAAUUUAACAACUUAAUAUAUUUACAAGGCAUGAUUUGUUAAAAAUUUGUAGAAAGAAAAUUAUUUUACUAACAAUUAUUGAUAAAUUUAAAAUUUAUAAUAAUUAGGGGCAUUUUAGUAAACUUACCCAUUACGAUACAGUAUUAUACCAUCAAACCAAACAACAAAACUGUUACUCCCUCCAUUUAAAAAAGAAUGACUUACUUUGACUUGACACAAAAUUUAAAAAAAUAAAGAAGACUUUUGAAUCUUGUGACCUUAAAUUAAAAUUGUAUCAAAUGUACCAAAAUGUCCUUUUGUCUUGUGGUCUUAAAUAUGUCAUGUGGAAAGUUGAAAUUAAAGUAUUGUCAAAAAGGAAAGGAGUCAUUCUUUUUUAAACAGACUAAAAAGAAAAGUAUGUCAUUCUUUUUUAAACGGGGGGAGUAUUAAACAGCUGUGAACGAUACAGUACAUCCAAACAUUGUAAUGUACUAUACUAUACAGUACCAUACCAUAUACCGUACAUUAUGAAAUCAUGACAAAUCACAAUCCAAACAAAGUGUAAGUCAACCACAGAAGAUAUGUCAUUUCCUUUAAUUAUAUACAUUUACCACGAUAAGUCGUAAAACUUUAGACAUUUUCUACUUGAGAUUGAUGCACAUAAUUAUGAAGAUGACAUAUUUUAUGUGUAACUUAACUAUCUAACAGACAGACAAAAAUACUUACAAAGAUGUUUUAAAAAGUUUGAAUAAAAAAUGUCUAAUUGAAAAACUUUAUUAGGAGUUGAGGUGUUCAGUUGAAAUAAAAGUUAGUUCGAGUGUCUACGCAGAACAUCUUAACAAAUUUAAAGGGUUAACUACUACUAUGUCGUAAGACUGUAAUUUAUUUGGCAUCAUCUACUCUCACGAUCUCUCAAUUUCUCCGAUCUCCGAUCACCCUCACUUUCUCCAUUUUUUUUCGAUCCGUGUGUGUGUGCUAGUGAGUAUAUCAGUGAGUGUGUGAGAAUUGAGAGUAUGUGUUUAUGGUUCUGAAGAGUAUGUGUGUGCUGGUGAGUAUACCAGUGAAUGUGUGAGAAUUGAGAGUAUGUGUUUUGGGGAAAAAUUUUCUUAAAAAUGAUGAAAAGUGAUAAUAAUGGACUUAGAAUUUGAAAUUGACUCAGCAGAAUCAUUUGGAAUUUGAUUUGUAGAAGGAAUUUGAGUUGUGGAAUCUUUAAUAUGAUUGUAAUGGUGAAAAAAUAUUGAAAAGUGAUAAAAUGGAGAAGAAACGACGCGUGUACUACACUUCCUACCGUAAAAACUAGUUAUAACAUUUUGGGUGGGAAUUAAUUCCACUUUAAAAAGGUCCGAGGGAAAUUAGUUCCACUUAAAAAAAUAUAGGUGUGUAAUAAGACCCCCAUAAAAUUCAAUAUGGUCAACUAAUAAUCCGAUCAAACUUCAGAUAUUUUUGUGAGUAUUUUUCCUAUAAUAAACCUAAGUAACUUCAGCUAUUGACUGUAUCCCUUUUAUUUUCCGCAAUAGUUCCAGCAGCACCAUACAUCUUAAUUUCCAAUGCCUUCUUCGACGAGUGCUCUGGAAACACCACUCCUCUUUUCAAUUACGAAUCCCGUAAGUAAGAUAUGUAUCAUGCCAAGAGCAUUUCAGUUGGGCUUAUGGGUCAUUCUCUUAAGUUCAGCAACUAGUUACUUGAAACAAGAUACUUUGCAAUUUACAUGAUUAUUUCAUGAAUUUGAAGUUUUAAUUUUGUUAGAAUUUUUAUGAAUUUAACAACUUAAUAUAUUUACAAGGCAUGAUUUGUUAAAAAUUUGUAGAAAGAAAAUUAUUUUACUAACAAUUAUUGAUAAAUUUAAAAUUUAUAAUAAUUAGGGGCAUUUUAGUAAACUUACCCAUUACGAUACAGUAUUAUACCAUCAAACCAAACAACAAAACUGUUACUCCCUCCAUUUAAAAAAGAAUGACUUACUUUGACUUGACACAAAAUUUAAAAAAAUAAAGAAGACUUUUGAAUCUUGUGACCUUAAAUUAAAAUUGUAUCAAAUGUACCAAAAUGUCCUUUUGUCUUGUGGUCUUAAAUAUGUCAUGUGGAAAGUUGAAAUUAAAGUAUUGUCAAAAAGGAAAGGAGUCAUUCUUUUUUAAACAGACUAAAAAGAAAAGUAUGUCAUUCUUUUUUAAACGGGGGGAGUAUUAAACAGCUGUGAACGAUACAGUACAUCCAAACAUUGUAAUGUACUAUACUAUACAGUACCAUACCAUAUACCGUACAUUAUGAAAUCAUGACAAAUCACAAUCCAAACAAAGUGUAAGUCAACCACAGAAGAUAUGUCAUUUCCUUUAAUUAUAUACAUUUACCACGAUAAGUCGUAAAACUUUAGACAUUUUCUACUUGAGAUUGAUGCACAUAAUUAUGAAGAUGACAUAUUUUAUGUGUAACUUAACUAUCUAACAGACAGACAAAAAUACUUACAAAGAUGUUUUAAAAAGUUUGAAUAAAAAAUGUCUAAUUGAAAAACUUUAUUAGGAGUUGAGGUGUUCAGUUGAAAUAAAAGUUAGUUCGAGUGUCUACGCAGAACAUCUUAACAAAUUUAAAGGGUUAACUACUACUAUGUCGUAAGACUGUAAUUUAUUUGGCAUCAUGUUUCUAUUUCGUGCUCAUAUCGACCAUAUUUAGUAUUCCCUUCGUUUAAAAAAAGAAUGACUUAUUUUGACUUGAUACAAAAUUUAAGAAAAUAAAGAAAAUUUUUGAAUCUUGUGACCUUGAAUUAACGUUGUAUCAAAUGCAUCAAAGUAUCUUUUAAUCUUGUGGUCCUAAACAUGCCAUGUAAAAAGUUGAAAUUAAAGUAUUACAAAAAAAAAAGAAUUUUUUUUUUUAAAGGAUUAAAAAAAAAAUAAGUCAUUCUUUUUUAAACAAAAAAAAUAUAUUAUUUUGGCGCUAACGCUAACGAUAUUGCAUUCGAUAUUUACUCUUUUAUCUUUCAGUUAGUCAAAUGCGUUGGAUUCUGUGUGUGCUGAUUGUGUUAGAAUUUUUAAAACAAUCCUUUUUUCACUUUCCUUCCCUCUAUUGACUUUGAGAUUAAAAAAGAGAAAGUUCUACAUUUGAUCAUUGUUGUCUAAAAAUGAUUACUUUCUCUUUGUCACCUUUUGAAUUUGAUCGUAAUUAUUUCUUAUUUUAUUUAAUUAUUUUGAAUUAUCAAUUAUUUUGACUUAUAGUAUUAUUUUACGUAAUUUUAGAUAAAUAGGUUUGUUUCAAAAAGUUUGAAGAUUUUAUGUCCUAAUUUACGAUCAAAAUUAAAAUAUUUCACUCUCAAAAUUAGAAUUGUAUUACAUAUACUAGGAUAGGGGGAAUACAAUUAUUAAUUAUAUGUAUACAAUGCAAAAAUAUAAUUAAUGAAUAUUAUUUUGCAGAUAACUAUAGGUAUAUCAGUAGUCCAAUUAUUUAGCUACCUGAACUCUCACCUUAUUUGAAGGAUCUGAGAGUUUGACUUUUCAGAGUGUAAUUCCCUCCCCAUUUUCUCCAUCCCUAAUUUUUUUUUAAAAAAAAGGGAUAAAUAUACCUUUGAAUUAUGAUAAAUGAUAUGUAUACACCCUCCAUCACAUUUUGGGUACACAUAUGUCUGUACUGUUAAUGAAAUGGUAUGUAUAUAGGCCUCACACUAACGAUAGGAGCAUAUGCGUACCCAAAGUAUGAUGGUGGUACGUACCAUUUAUCAUAUUUCAGGAGGUAUAUUUGUCCCUUUUGAAUUUUAGUUUUCUUAAUUUAAAUUAUUAACCAAAUUCUCUACUUCACCCAUUAAACCCACUAUCCGAUCGAUCUCAGUUAACGUAUAAGAGACGCCUAUCUAAUAGACGUAUUUUUCCUAUGUCUAUAGCGAUAUAGACAAAUAAUACAGUAACACUUGCUAGUAUUGAUUUUUUAAAAAAAAUCAUUAACCCACAACACCCAAUAAAUGAAACCUCUCACAUUUUAAUUUUCAGCGAAAUUUCAUCGGGAAAACAUUACCAACCAUCGGUCAACACCACAUAGCCACCGUCUCCGUCGAAUUGAAAACACCCUACCGGCGAACCAUCGUCGGCUCGUCGCAUCCCUAGCUCCAGCCACAUUCGGUCUAAUCUCCAUCUUCUCCAACCAGUGAACACCAACUAGUAGCAUCGAUCAAUUACUGUAAUUUGAUGAAAUUCACAUUUAAGAGAAAUAUAAAGGGAGUAUCGAGUUUGAAACAAAAAAUAGAAGUCUGAUUGACUUGGUUUGAAAUCAGGUUCGAUGGGUUUAUUGUGUCAGAUAGUAAGAUUGGGAUAAUUAUUUGGGAUAAAAAAAUUAAAACGAAAAAAGGAACAAAUAUAUUCUUGAACUAUGAUAAUGAUACGUGUAUACCCUCCAUCAUAUUUUGGGGUACACAUAUGCCCCUUCCAUUAGUGUGAGAGACAUAUAUGUACCAUUUCAUUAGUGGUAGGGACAUAUGUAUAUUCAAAGUAUGACGGAAGGUAUAUAUGUACCAUUUAUCAUAGUUCCAAUGCAUAUUUGUCACUUUUUCGUAAAAAAAAUUAUAGGCCACUAUAUAAUAUAAAAUAGUGUUAGGAAAAAAUAUCUUUUUUAUGGAUAUUGUAGGGGAGCCUUGUAGUAACUGGUAAAAUUGUUGUAAUUUGACUAGGAGGUCAUAGAUUCAAGCCUUGAAAACAGGCCUUAAAAAAAUAUAUGAUAAAAUUGUGUACAAUAGAUCCUUGCGAUAGGGUCUUUCCACAAACCUUACUCUAUGGGAGUUUACUUCAUCGCGCUAUCCUUUUAUGAUUGGCUUCUAGAUGGUUGAUGUAAUAGGGUGAUGACCGAUGGGAAUGACCCUUGACGGCCUAAGACAACUCUGCAAGAAGAUGGUAGACAGAAAUAAUAAAGUGCCGAAAAUUUUUACUAUGGAUGAGGAGUACCAUGUCAUACUUGUGAGAGGGCAUUUCUUAAUGAGGAAAAAAAUUAGCGGACUCCACAUUUUUUAUUUUUAAUCAAUUUUAUAUUCACAUUCACCUACCCCACCCCUCUCUCGUUCACUUUCUCUGUUUUAUUUUCCCCCCUUUUUACACCAAUUUUUAGAAAAUAUCUAACUUCACAAUUUUAUUCAAACUCAAAUUUAACAUCAACUCUAUUGAAAUAAAAUCUCUAGCAAAUAAUUAUACUUGUAAAAAAAUAUUUUUCAUAGCAUAUAGUUGAGACAUCUAACUGAAUAAUUUUAUUCAAAUAAAGGAGCAGUAUAAGAUUACUCAGCAAUAAUUAGCAUGAAGCAUAAAUUUGAAUGCAAAACAUAUCGAUGCGGCACAUGAAAAUUUAAAAAAAAAUAAAAAUUAAGAAUAUUAUAAGGAAGUAGAAUUAUUUCUUUCUCCGAUUUCAUCAAGAGAAAUUAGUCAAACAUGUAAAGUUUUUUCGAUUUUUAUAUUUGACCUCUGUUUAUUUUUCAACACUGUUGAUGGUUCCCUCUUCUUCUAUUUUUGUUUAUGUUUCUUCUUAUUUGACAGACUAAAGAUGCAAUCUUUCUUGUAAAGUGAUCUUGCCAUUGUUGUGUUUUAGUGUAGGAAUAACUAUUACAAAAUACGUGUCGAAUCAAAAUUUCUGCUGAAGGAUUCAAAAAUUGAAAAAAAAAAACUCACCGAACAAAUUCAAAACUACCUAAAAAAUUAUCCAUUUAAAUUUUACAUCAAUUGCAAUCAUGAGUUGAGUGUUGAAAUAUUUCAAAGAUUUAAAGAAUUAAGAUGUUGGUGACGUCGUGAAUCUACACGAAUAAUAAAGAAAUGAGUGAAAAAUGAGAGAGGAGAAGAAGAAAUAGUAAAAAGGAAAGAAAGAAAGUGACAGGGGUGAGGUGGGGUGGGUGAAUGCAAAUAUAAAAUUGCCUGGGAAUUAAAAAUGUAGGAUCCACUAAUUUUUUCUUCACUAAAAAAUAUCCUCUCGUAUGACAUGGUACUCUCAUCGUAAAAUUUUCCAUAAAGGGUGUGUUUGGUAUGAAGGAAAAGAAAAUGUUUUCAAUUUUCUCUUGUUUGGUUGGUUUAAAGAUUUUGAAAAAUGUUUUCCAAAUCAACUUAUUUUCCUCAAAUCUAAGGAAAAUGACUAACCUUAAAAAAGUAAGGAAAACAUUUUGCAAAAUUCUCUUUCAACCUCACUUAAAAUUGAAAUAUUAACACAACUCUCAAAAUCACCCCUCCCUACUCCAACCCUCAAUCCCCACCCCCACCCCACCCCCUAAAAUCCCUAUUAAUAAAGAUAGUUAAUGUUUUUUUUCUUAUUUCACCCCCUAUCCAAAACCCUACUCCCUUUCCCUUUCCAUUUUUUUAAAAAAAUUUAUUAAAAAAAUUCAAACUUUUUUCUUAUCUCCCCUACCCGACCACCCUACCAACUUCCUCCCCUCUCCCACCCCCAAAAAAAAAAAGAAAAAAAAAAUUUAAAAUUUAUUUUUUGAAAAAUUUUAAUUUUUUCCUUACCCCACCCUCGCUCCCCUACCUCAACCCCACCCUUUUGACAACUCCACCCCCCACCUACAAACCCCCUCUUAAAAAAAAAUAAUAUUUUAAAUUUAUUUUCUAAAAAAAAUCAAAACUUUUUUCUUAUACCACUCUUUUUAUCAUUUUCGUUCUCAUUGUUUUUGUACAAAUAUAUUUUAAAAACAUAUACUUAUCCAAUUUGCAUAACGAACACACGCAUAUAAGUAAGAAAUAACUUAUUUUUCUAGAAAAUAUUUUUCCUCCUUCAUAUCGAACACACUCUAAAAAAAGAAUUUUUGAAGAUCAAAAAUUAUUUUUUUUUAAUGUAUUUUUACGCUUUAACUAAAUACUAAAAUAUAUUUUUUAAAAGAUAUUUUUCAUUCACCAACCAAACAUAGAAAAACAAGUAAGAAAUCAACUUAUUUUCCAAGAAAAUAUUUUCUAGGAAAAAAAUUUUCAUGAAAAAUAUUUUCCUUCCUACCAAACACACCCAAAGUGCCAUCUCAUGGACUGACAAGAAUUUAAUAUAUACACAUGGUGUCCUAUGGUUGGUUUGGAAGAUUAUGAUCCAUAUCAUUUUCAUUGAAUUGGAAGUCUCGAUACUAGCAAUGGAGGUAUUUAUAUAAAAAAUGUUCAAUUUGACACCAUUUUAAAACAAAACAAAAAAAAGUGUAAUUCAAAAUAAAUUGUAAUAGAUUUUGUGAUUAUGAAUCAUUUUAUUAAAGUAAAAUAAAAGAUUAAAAUAAAAAUUAUUUAACAAAUAUAAAAUUUAUUUAUUUUUUAAACUGAUCAAAAAGAAAAAAUAUAAUAUAAAUUAAGAUAGGAAAAAUAUAUUGUACUCUCUAAAGCAAAUACGUACUUUAAAAUUAAUUAUAGCUUGUUUCAUAAAUUCGAACAACUUCGUGAUGAUAUAAUGCUUGAAUCAGUGAAGAUUUUCGUCAAUUUGUCAGUAAGAAAAAAUGGUGGAUAGUUUUCCCGAUAAGCGAUCUAAAAAAGCUUAACAAUUUAUAUUGAGGUUCUUUGAAGCACUUCCAUUAAACUUCAAUAAGUUCAAACAAGAAUAUUCAUGCUUCGCUGCAUCACAUAUAUGAAUAAUGUUAAUUAAUAAAGAAUAUGUAUGAUAUCAUACAGAAUAUUUGGUCAAGUUUCUAAAGAUUGGCAUGUCUUUUAUAUGUUUUAUUUAUAUAAAAUACUAUUGCAGACUAUCUAAGAUAUUAUAUUUUUAUAUUUGGUUUUAUAAUGCCAAAGUUAUAGCUAAUGCUUUAAAGAUGAGAAUCUUGAAAAAUGAUAAUUUGAACAUGUUUUUGCCCAUUAACUUUUAUAGAAAAAAUAACUGCUACACAAAAAAAAAACUGAUUGUAUAAGCUUGGAAGGAAGAAACGGGAAGAGAAGAAAAAAGAGUAAAUAAAAGCAAACAAAGGGAUGUAAUGAAACAUAAAAGAAAAUCUUCCCAAUAAUAUGAAUGAAAAGGUGGUGGGAAAUCUUUUUAAUAGCUCAAUUAAUUAAUUUAAUGAUGAGGUUUGAUUUCUCACAUUGUAUACUCUUCUUCGGCCUUCCCCAAUUCUUCUUGCCCAUUUUUUUCUUUUAAAGAAGUGGUGGGGCUAGGGAAAAUUCAGGACGAUACCAUAGAGGUACAUAUUAAUUAAAUAAUAAAUAUAGAUAAUAAUUGUUUGGUGUUAUAAUUACUAUGAUUGUUUGUGGCAAAUCAAUCAUGGAUCUUAUUUAUCUGCAUUGUAUUGUAAUUUAAAAUAAAGCGUAUAUGCUUAAAGAAAAUAAUUCCCCCAAUAGCUGUCUUAGUACAAUAAUAACACCAACAUACUUAAUAUAUUUUUAUAAAUGAACCAUUAGAAUGACGGAGUUAAUGCCGAUCUUACUUGCAUCUUUAUGAAGCAAAAAGAUUAUUUCUAAUAAAUAUUAUAUUAUUUAGGAUACACUUUCAGCCAAAUAUAUGUGAAACUUAUAAGUAUAUGAAUAUCUAUUUUAUCUUGCUAUGUAUCAUUCCAAAAUAAUGUCAUAUGAGUGAAGCUCUUCUAUGUACUCACUUGUUGAAGGUAAGCCGGUAAAAUGGGCCGGUUUGACCCGGCCCGGUCAGUCCAUGGACUGUAGGGUAUCGGGUAUUGGGUUGGGUUAAUUUUUAUUGGACCCGGUUAAUCCGUUUCGGACCAAAAUCGGUUCAAGCCUGCUGAUUAACCGGUUCGGCUCGGUUAAUUUAAAAAGAAAAAUGGAUUUUUUAAUUUAUGUAUUAUAUAAAUUGGUAUAUAACUAUAUAUAUAGUAUGUAUAUAUAUUGUAGUAUAUUUUAUUUAAAGUAGUAUGUAUAUAUUGAAUAAUUCAUAUAUAUGUGUGUAUAUUUUAUAAAGUAGUAUAUAUUUAACGUAUACAUGUGUAUAUAUUUUAUAAAUUAGUAUAUAACUAUAUAUUUAGAAUAUGUAUAUAUUGUAGUAUAUGUUUAAUUUAAAGAAGAACAUAUAUUGAAUGGUACGUAAUAUGUGUAUAUAUCUUUUAAAGAUGUAUAUAUAUAACAUAUACAUGUGUAUAUGUUGUAUAAAUUAGUAUAUAACUAUAUAUUUAAUGUGUGUAUAUAUUAUAGUAUAUAUGUUGUAGUAUAUUUUAUUUAAACUAGUACGUAUAAAUUGAAUGGUACGUAUAUUUAUGUAUAUAUCUUCUAUAAACGUAUAUAUUUAACAUAUACAUGUGUAUAUGUUUUAUAAAUUAGUAUAUAAGUAUAUAUAUAGUGUGUGCAUAUAUUGUAGUAUCUGUUUUAUUUAAAGUAGUACAUAUAUUGAAUGGUACGUAUAUAUCUGUAUAUAUCUUCUAUAGACGUAUAUAUUUAACGUAUACAUGUGUAUAUGCUUUAUAAAUUAGAAAUAACUAUUUAUAUAGUGUGGGAAUAUAUAUUGUAGUAUAUGUUUUAUAUAAAGUAGUACAUAUAUUGAAUGGUACGUAUAUAUGUGUAUAUCUUCCAUAUACGUAUCUAUUUAACGUAUAUAUGUGUAUAUGUUUUAUAAAUUAGUAUAUAACUAUAUAUAUAGUGUGUAUAUAUAUUGUAGUAUAUAUAUUGUAGUACAUGAUUUAUUUAAAGUAGUACGUAUAUAUUGAAUGGUACGUAUAUAUGUGUAUAUCUUCCAUAUACGUAUCUAUUUAACGUAUAUAUGUGUAUAUGUUUUAUAAAUUAGUAUAUAACUAUAUAUAUAUAUAGUGUGUGUGUAUAUAUUGUAGUAUAUAUUUUAUUUAAAGUAGCACAUAUACUGAAUUGUACGUAUAUAUGUGUAUAUAUCUUCUAUAGACGUAUAUAUUUAACGUAUACAUGUGUAUAUGUUUUAUAAAUUAGUAUAUAUAUCAUUAUAUUGUAGUAUAUAUAGAGUAGUAUAUGUUUUAUUUAAAGUAGUACAUAUAUAUUGAAUGAUACGUAUAUAUGUGUACAUAUUUUCUAUAGACGUAUAUAUUUAAUGUAUACUUGUGUAUAUGUUUAUAAAUUAAUAUAUAACUAUAUAUGUAGUGUGUGUAUAUAUUGUAGUAUAUAUUUUAUUUAUAGUAGUACAUAUAUUGAAUGGUAUGUAUAUAUGUGUAUAUAUCUUCUAUAGACGUAUAUAUUUAACGUAUACAUGUGUAUAUGUUUUAUAAAUUAGUAUGUAGCUCUAUAUAUAGUGUGUGUAUAUAUUUUAGUCUAUAUAUUGUAGUAUAUGCUUUAAUUAAAACAGUAUGUAUAUAUUGAAUGGUACGUAUAUAUGUGUAUAUAUCUUCUAUCGACGUAUAUAUUUAACGUAUACAUGUGUAUAUGUUUUAUAAAUUAGUAUGUAGCUCUAUAUAUAGUGUGUGUAUAUAUUGUAGUAUAUGCAUUGUAGUAUAUGUUUUAUUUAAAGUAGUACAUAUUUAAUGGUACGUAUAUAUGCGUAUAUAUCUUUUAUAGACUCUAAAGUAGUAUAUAUUUAAUAUGUAAAUGUGUAUGUAUUUUUCAAAUUAUUAUAUAUAUCAUUACAUUGUAGUAUAUAUAUCUUAUAGUAUAUGUUUUAUUUCGAGUAGUAUAUAUAUUUAACUACAUAUAGUCAUAUACACGACUACAUGUGUAAUUGUGUAUAUAUUUUUUAAAUUUUAAUGUAAUAUAUACUGUAUAUAUAGUGUAUAUAUUUUGUUUAACGUAUUUAAAAUGUAUAUAGGUGGAUAUAUAUAGUGCAUAUUGGAGAAUUUUUAUUUUUUUGUUUUUGACCGAUUUUGACCGGAUUUUAAACCCGGUUUGACCUGAUUUAGCUCGGUUGGACCGGGUUGGGUUAAGUGGGCCGGUUCUGGGUUAUUUUUAAAAUUUUUACUGAUGGACCCGGAAUCGAACCGGCCCGUUUAAUCAAGCCCGGAUCCGGACCUGACCACAACUUGGCUAAAUCUCACAUACCGUUUCCAGGUUGACCCGGUCCGGACCACUUGACAGCAUUAGUUGAAGGUCGAACGAAUUUGAUGUUUUGAAAACGAUCUACGAGCAGAAACACUGUACUGAAUUGGAAGUAUCAUGCAGGAAAGUUACAUGCACUAAGUAAAAAUGGAGACACUCAGCAAAAUUUAAUUAGACCGAAAAAAUUGUAUUUCGAAAGAAUUUGUUUUGUAUGUCACUUGCAACUUUUUUUUUUUUUUAAGGUUUAAUGAAUUUCAUGUACUAAAAUCUUUAUUUUUAGGCAUAAAAGAUUUGAAAAAACUAUUUUUUUUCCAUUUCAUUUCCUACGCUUCUCCAUACAACUUUCUUUUUAAUUACGUUGUUUUUAUCCUUCUCAAGAAGCUUCCAUCAUUUUUAUUUUCUUGAUGACUGAACUCGCAAUCUCAAAAAAGAAAGUGUAAAUUGCUUACAAUUCGAGCCAACUCCGUUAUUCUCGGUAUAACUUAUGAUAUUAUUGUAGUGGCUUUUUAUGUAGGCACGGAUGAAAAACUGUUUAGUGAAAAGCAUUGAAGGAAGAAAAUGGCCAACACUAGGAGUGCAACCCAACAUUUCCCACUCCUUUUGUCCUGACAUAAGAAGCAAAAUAGCAUCAUAUUCUCUCGUGGGCUCCAACCAUAAGAUAGUUUUUUUAAAAAAACAAAUGUGAAAGCGCAAAAUCCACCUCAAUUCUUCUUCUAUUGCACCAGAACCAAAGCAUCUCCCUCUCCCCGUCUCAUUUUUUCCUCUUCCAAUCAAAAUAUCUAAAUCUUUGACAAAUCUACAAGGGAUUGUUUGGCGGAAGAUAUAAGAAAAAUAAUGCAUGCAAUAAUUAAUUUUGAUAUUACUAAUUCUUUUAAUACAAAAUUUCUAACUUAUGUAUAACUAUAACUAAUAGCAAUAUCCCCUAUUAUCUUAUGUAUAACUAUUUAGCUAUUACAUAUCAAAUCAUGAAACUAAGCAUACCAUCAAAGGAUGUGGUGCAAUAGAUGAGGCUGUUCCUUUUAUAACCAGAGAUCUUGGGUUCGAGCCCUGAGUAUAGAAAAAUUCUUGAUAGGGAGCGCUACCCCUCGAAUGGGGCUCCCUAUUCGGCGCGAAUUCAGAUUAGUCAAAUUUCAUUGCGGCUACCAACACCGAAUGAAAACAAAAAAAAAAAAUUAAGCAUAAGGAUCUUUUAUAUAUGUCAAGCAUGGCUAAAGAUAGUCCUUGAAAGUGUACAAAGCUAAAAGAUAUGGAUGGUAUUUUUGUAAAUAAAUAAUUAUUUUAGAAAUUAUAUAUGUAAUACAUGUUAUUUUUAAUUUAUCAAAUUAAACAAUGGAUAAAACAUAAUAUCAUUACAUAACUAAUUUCUGCAUUACUAUAUAUCAUAUUCAAUAAUAUUCUUAUACAUACUCACAAACGAAUCCUAAUGCACCCUUUGAUUCAUUUUACUUGACUCUUUUACUAAAAGUAGUUAUUUCAAUUAAUUUGUCUAUUUAAUGAAAUCAAGAGAAAUCUAUCAUUUUCUUCUAAUACCACCUCUAUUAUUAGAUGACUACAUAUACUCC